rnacentral:lncRNA from 1 species
AAAUAAAAAUUUCUGAACUCUAUAGCCUAUACCUAUCCUUUAUUUCUUCUAUCUCGCCAUUAAUAUGCAAUAGUCCUUCUAUCUUAUAAUAGAAAUGCAAUCCUAAAACAUCUACGCGUCUUUUUUGGUUCAACACUCAACUUGUGUCUCAUCUAUAUCUUCAUCUAGGCAAAAAAGUUAAUUCUAUGCGUCUUCGUAUCUUUAACUUUUGCAUGCGUGCAUCACGACACAAUCAAUCUUAAAAGAAAUUGUAUUUCUUCCAUAAUCAACCAGUUAAAAUUCCUUACAACCUUUUAGAUGCUCGCCGUCUAUGAUGAAUUUUCCUAUGCAUAGUUAGCACUACCAUCCUGCAAUGUUUCGAAUCGGUAUUGCCGAUCGUCUCAAUUGCUAAACUAUGUUGCCUUUGUCAGAUUAAAAGAUCCUCAUUUCAAGUUCUAAAAAACCUAGGCACCUAUUAGAACUUCGAAUUUAGGGUUUAGUAUUUCAAUUUAAACACAACAUACUAACACUUGAACAAUUCCAUACAAAACUUUGCUCCCUUAUAAAGGUCCUCAAAUUUGUGAAGCACUGUUUUCAUUUCUCUUCUAUAUAGAAUGAAAUUAUUGGACUAAAUUAUCCACUAAUCCAACAAAAAAGAAAAAAAAAAAAGAAGCUAAAAUAACAAACUAAAACCCUAAUAGUAAUAGAACCCCUAAAAAUUAAAAACAGAGCUCAAUUCAAAACCCCCCCAAAAAAAAGUGAUUAAUGAGAAAGGCAUAGAAUUACUGGAAUCCAGAUUUGGUGAACUGCGUCAACCCAUACAACCCGAAAGCCGCUGUUCUCCAUGCCUGCGAAAAAAAAAAAAAAAAAAGAAAGAAAAUCCAAUUUUUUUUAAAAAAAUUACAACAAAAAAAUCAGAAUAUAUACAAAAAAAUCACCUCAAAUUCCAGAAAAAAAAGGGGGAACGUUGGGUGUUACCUUCUGAAGGAACAUUUUUAAAUUCAAAUAUAUGCAAUAUUUUAACUCAUUAAAAUGUGUAUUUGUAUCACUUUGGAUUUUGGACUUUUAUAGUUCUGGGAAGUGAGGUGGUUCGAAGCCCACGACAAGGGGAGAAGAAUAUGAGAACGCACGUGAGGGAGAGUGCGUGGAUAAACUAUAAAGCAAACACUAUUUUAUUAUACAACAUGUAAAUCUUUUGAGGACUGGAAUGCAAAUUUGCAACUGGGCUCGGCCCAUUUAAUUUUAAUUACGGCCCAGCCCAAUUAUGUGGGUCGGGCUAAAGCAUACGAGCCUAUAUAAUAUUUUAGGCCCAUGAGGGAGCAGCGUGGAACCACCAUGGAGAGCCAUGGCGAUUCCUCGGAGGGUCGGCGACCUCGAGCCGUGUUCAUGGCGUUCGGCACCAAAGGCGACGUAUUCCCCGUCGCGGUUAGGGUUUCUUCUCCCUCCUCCUCCUCGUCCUCCUCCUCCUUCUCCGAACCCUAGGAUUGGAUUGUUUAGGAACUCUAUCAACUACUCAUCUGCGUGGUUCUUUAUCUGUAAUCGAAACAAAAUUAGGAAGCUGAAAUAGCGAUUCAUCAAUGUAACGAUCGAAAUCAUCGCUAUCUUUAUACUUUUGUUCGGUAUCUGCUCAAACAUUUGUAGUUUCAUCAGUGAUUUUGGAGUGUGGAGCAAUAUAGAAGUUUUACUGCCCAUUUCUAUAUGAUUUAUUUACAUGAAUGUUUUGCUUCUGCUGUCAUUUUAAAUUCUUAAGAAUCUACUUUGUUUGGUGUCAUAAGGUGAUAAAUUCGCCAUCUUUUCAUUUGUAGGCCAUUGCUGCAGCAUUUGCAUGUGACCAGCAACACUACCAUGUGGUUUUUAUCACUCAUUCAGCUCAUCAGGUUGACAUCUGCUUUCUCUUUUUUCCUUUAUUUUUGAUUUUAAAUUUGUGAUCUCCUUCUGUUGCUUGAAGAACUGGUAAUAUUGCAGAGUUUGAGUGGAAAUUUGUCUGCAAAAAAUAUUACCUACAUGCCACUGUCCGCUCCACCCGUUCUUCCGGCUCACUAUCAUGGCGAUAUCUCAGGUUAGAUCUCCGGAAAGAACCUGAGUUCUUCAUAUUUGUUUACAAUUGAUGUUUCUUUAUUAUUGCAAAUAAAUCUAAUAUGUUUUAACCUUCUUCUUCUUUUUUUUUUUUUUUUUUUUUUUUUUUUUUUUUUGUGAAUCAGAUGUUGACAAAGCGUCUUUUUCCCUGAGGAAAGAGCUCAUUCAGACAGAAAAUAGACAGGAAUGUUUAUCUGCACUAGAAGAAAUUUUUAGAGAUGCUCCAGGCACUGAGGGUGAUUUCAUUGCGAUAAAUUUCUUUGCUUUGGUAGUGAGAAAGGAGAAAAUAUUUCAUAUUUUGCCUUUUUAGUUUAGCAUGAAAUAUGUCUUGAUAUCUUUAAUUGGCAUGCCUCUCUUCUCUAUGUUGUUUGCACUUAUUGGUUGUUUCACAGUUAUCUAUGUUUACUUUAUGAUCCAGGAAGGCUGGCAUCUUGCGGAAUUAUUUCAAGUUCAAUGUGUUGUUACUGCUCCUUAUGUUGUUCCAUAUAGGUAUAACUUCAACCAAAAGUUGCAUGCUAGUAGGUGAUGACCUUCUAGAUUUUCUUUCCUAGUCGUUUCCAUUUAAGUCUACCUUAGCAACUGAUUCUAGUUCUACAAAUCAUAGAUUUUUUAGUUUUUCUGUUUGUUUUAGCAAUUUAUAAUUUUGUUGGACAUGGUUAAGCUUGGAUAACUAUUAUAAUUUAUUUUCUCCUUUAACAUUUCUCUAUCUUGCACAGUGCACCUUCAUCAUUUGAACGUCGGUUUAAACAAGAUCUUCCUCUGCUGUACAAAUAUUUCCAAGAUGCUCCUGCAAACAUGGUAUGCAAGAUCAUGUGCUGCAUUUGCUUCUUUCUUUCACGUGUCUUGUUUACUGGUUUUGCCACAAUUUUUUCGACCUGUUUAUGCAUCUCUAAGCUAGUACAUGUAAUAAGCUCCAUAUAUUGUUGCCUAGUGAAUCAUUCUCUAUGUCCAUAUCAAGCUUAUGCAAUCAAGAUUUAAUCCUAGCUACACUUGUAGAAGAAAAAUAUAAGUUAAUUUUUUUGGAAAGUUGCUUUACUUUUUGCACGAUAGUGAUGUCUUAUUCUGUAUAGUUGAUAGGUUUCCUGGAAGGAUGUCAUCCACUGGAUGUGGCCACUCUUCAUGGAAAACUGGGGAUUGUGGAGAAGUAAUACUUUAAAUCUAAGUCCUCUUCCUUUCACGGUGGGUGCGACCAUCUACAAGGAUUGAGCUCUUUUUGAUAGUUUUCAUAUAUUUAUUGCAGUUUUGUAACAUACCCGUUGAACUCUUUGAUUUGUACCCUUUUUUUCGCUUCUUUUUUUAAAAAAACUGUAGGAUCCAGUAACAAAUCUUCCGCUGUGGCACAUGCGAACUCAAUCACCAGUUCUGCUGUAAGACUAAUACACUUAAUCUAAUUACGGAGUAUAUCUAGAAGACUACAUUUUUUAUAACAGAAGCUAUGUUGGAAAAAGUAGCCUUCAUUUGUCACUCUUUAGAUUUCAAUUAACAGAUGGAGACAUAAUUUUAUUCCUGUGCCCCGGAGGUAUAAUCACUUAUUUUUGCUCUAAGCAGGUAUGGAUUCAGCAAGGAAAUUGUCGAGUGCCCAGGUACCAAUUCAAUUUGCUUUAUUCAACACUUUGUUCUUUAUACAUUAGUAGCCUUCUACUAAGUAGCCUCAGGAAUUGAUUUUCAAACUUUAAUUCCAUCCAGUCUUGGUGUUUCUUGUUUGUUAACACCAAACUUUCAAAUGCUCUCUUUAAUGCUCUCUUUAUUCUUUUUCAUUGAACCGUGAUAGCUGAAAAGUCUUAAGAUCUGAAACACUUAUAACCAACACGUGCCAGGGUAUUGGCCACCAAAUGCUCAUAUCUGUGGUUUCUGGUUUCUUCCUAUGGAGUGGCAAUUCUCGUGCAAUAAAUGUGCAGAAAAGUUUUCUCUGCAUUCUUAUGGAUCAUUGACUCCAGUGAAGGAACUAUGUCCAAUUCAUGCUGACCUACAGCACUUCCUCAGAGAAAGGUCUACCCUAUGCUUACCAAUAUUUGUUGGGCUAAGUUCUAUUGGAAGGUAGAUACUGUUGGUCUUCACAGUUUCAUACUUUUUUGAGUUUCCAACAAAAUAUUAUGGUUUUUUUAAUAUUAUUAGGUAUAACUUAGAUAAUUUUUCUCUCCAACAUAUAUCUUUAGCUCAAAUCUCCCUACUUAUCUCUAAAUUUAUUAUUGGCUGGCAUUUAUCCUUUGCAGCAUGGGCUUUCUUAGAAACCCUCGAGCAUUUCUUAUGGUGCUUGGAGCUGUGAUAGAGACCACAAAUUAUAAAAUUAUUUUUUUCUCAUCUGGAUACAAGCCAUUAGAUACUGCUAUCCAAUCUAUUGCUAGUGCAUCAUCAACUGCAUUGAAGCCAUGCACUUCCUGUGGUGAUAGCACUAUCCUCUUCAAUGGCCGGCUCUUUUGCUUUUCUGGGUAAGAAAUUUCCAGAUGGUCGUUAGAGGCUUCCUCUAGGUGUAUCUUCUUACUGAUAUAUGCAUAUGUUGUUUUUUUUGUUGAUUUAUGUACAAUCAGCUCUGUUCCAUAUAGCUGGAUUUUUCCUCAAUGUGCCGUUGCAGUUCAUCAUGCUGGCAGGUCAGUUUGCAAAGAUGUGUAUUUUGAGUAAAAGUACGGAUUUUUCUGGACAAAUCUGGUUAAAUGACUUUUUUCUCUACUUUCUCAACAGUGGCACUACUGCUGCUGCAUUACAUGCAGGAAUCCCUCAGGUUUUAAUCACCACUUACUGAUUAUAUUUUAGUCCUGUGACUCCUGUUUCAUUUUUUCUUCUUAUCUAAACUGCAAACCUUUUAGUCCGGGAGAUGCUGUAACUGCCUUGGCUCUUGUACACUCUUCUUAACUAUCUCCUGCAAUCAUAACAUUUUCUUUUCAAUAGGCUUAUAGCAGUAUAAACAUUUCCUUUGCAUGCAAUCAUGGAAUCUGUAUUCAUUCUUUUCUUUUCUUUUUUUUUUGGGUGCAUAAUCACUUAAUUUUGAUGCACUUAUCUGGUUGUCUAUAGUUAUGUGAAUUGCUCCAGACACUGAUGACCUGUUAUUUCGAAUGCUACAAAGAUUCACCCAUUACAAUGUCCUCUUGUAUAGUCAUGCUCGGGAAAGCAUAUAUGAAUGUUAUCCAGUUUUCAGACAAUUACAUAUAUGCUCGCUAUCCUACUGUGAAAAUAAGCAGGCUAGUUCAAGAUAGCAAUGCUAUGGAUUGGUUGGUUAAUCAUACAAAAUGAGCAUGUAAUGGACUUGAGAAAGAAUAUUUGGGUAUGUGCAGGUAGUGUGUCCCUACCUACUAGAUCAAUUUUACUGGGCUGAGAAGCUGUGCUGGCUUGAAGUUGCUCCAGAGCCAUUACAGAGACAGCAUGUGACUCCGGAUAGUGAUGAUUCAGCAAGCAUUGUUGAAGCUGCUGAGGCCCUCUCAAGGGCCAUUAGAUUGGCACUCACCCCUGAGAUGAAAGAACAAGCGGCGAAGAUAGCCGAGAGAGUAUCAUCUGAGGUACGUAUCCAAUGCAAUCAUCGGAACCCUUCUUCACUUUUCGUUUACAUUUUGAUUCAUUCACUUUUUAUAUUACCACUUGUAGGAUGGUAUUGGAGAAGCUCUUAAAGUUUUAAAGGAAAAGGUGGCCUCUCCAUUCAAAAGGCGAAAGGACUAGAUGCUCAUAAUCAUCCAAGAGACGCUGCACAUGUUAUAUUCUGUGAAAAGUUGAUAGCAAAGAAGUUAAACUGGCUGUGUGACUUGGACUAAUUCAAAAUGUAAUUUAUGGUUCAAUUGGAUAUUCUUUGCUGCCCCACACUCUGAAUUAAUUAUAGCACUGCUUGAGUUUCUGCUAAUACAAAAUACAGCAUUGAGUUAAUAAUAGCUGUUCAUCACCCAAAAUUUUGCAUAGUGUAUGAUUAUGUUAUAUAUAUAUAUAUAUAUAUAUAUAUAUAUAUAUAUAUAUAUAUAUAUAUAUAUGUUUCACUGUUAUUGGAAAGAAGUUUAGGUAGAAAACCUUGACUUGAUGUCUUAGUUGUAUUGUUCUGUUCACUUGUCCAUGGUGGCCGUGGCACUUAAUCUGGAAAGAAGUAACCGCUUUGCUUUUCUAAGUUCUGUGCUUGUAUUAACUGCUAAAAAAUCCUUCGAAUUAAGAACUUCAAGUAGCAUGCUAGUGCAAAAUAUUUGUAAAGCCACUCUGACAAAUUGUUUUUAUGGCAUUGAAAUAUUACAAAAUGUACAAUUAUAGUGCACAGGAGCUGCUCGAUUAUUCCGUGUUAUCUUGUAAUGAUCAAUCAAAUCAAGCAGGUAGAGCAGUACCAGGUUUCUAACGCCCCCAUGCGUUUGUGUCCUGCAUGAAUAGCAGACAACUAAAUUACUUUGCGAGUAGAAUAAGAAUGUCAAUAUAAUUUAGUUUGGCAUGUGAAAAUGACCUUAAAGUAUUGAACUUUACUACCAAGCAGUUAUUAAUUGAAUUUUAAGGCUUUGAAAGAAGGAGAAACUGACCUCUCCUGGCCUGACAUUGCCCAUUCCAACUUCGAAAUCGAAAUCUGACAUUAUUUCUUCGUCUUCUAUCUCUGCGUUUGUUAAUGUGAGAGCCUUCUGAAGCUUCCUAUGGCAGAACACUUCAACCUCCGCCGAGUAAACCGCCGUCACAGGUCGAUGAUCAGACAGCGUCAGCUCAGACCUUCUGUACUUCAGCAGUUUCAUGCCCUUUCCAUAUGAUAGGAUACGGUCACACCUGCAGCAGUCAAAUAAUAUAAUACUAUGUUCAAGAUGUAAGCAGGAAACUGAGGAAAUUUAGAACUUCCAAAAGCAAUUAUGUAAAAUCAAUGUAUGUUGAGAGUCAACAAAUAAGCUCAGAAGCAGAGCAUCUAAUGGACAGCACAAGUUUUGGCCUUUGGAAAGGCACAAUUUUUGCCAGCCUCCUUAAUGUAAAAAGCAAGAAACUAAAUAUAUGUGCUAUGAACAAUGUAAUGUUAAUACCAUGCUGGAGAUCUUCUUCCACCCUUUGGAUCAUCUCCAGUGUAUCUUUCUGAAUUGAACUCAUAUUUAUAGGUAGGAGGGAAGUUUAUAACACCUUCAGACCAUCCAUCGAAAGCCCUUCCCUUUUUCAACUCAUGUUUUAGUUUCAAAAAAUAGUAAAAGAAUCUCAGUAAAACCGUCAGUCAAUGUUCGGCAAUUGAUAAAUUCAAAACUAGUGAUGGACAAGCUCUCUCCAUCUAUAAUUUGGCCUCAAAUUCAAUGCGUAAUUUAAAGAAUCAAGAGCAAUCAUAGUUCUUGUUUUGCAGUUGGAAUUACCACCAGUUGCCACUAGAAUAAAACAACUGUGAUCUCCACGAUAUCUGUUCUUUUCUUCUCUUUUUCUGUAAAGAAGUUAGUUUACCUGAUCGUUCUCAGCGAGCUGAGACCAAUUGCUUUUGGAGAUGAGCUCAUGAGUUUUCUCAUAUGAUAAAUCAAUGCGGUAAUUUAGAUCUCCAAGCCAGAAAAUUCUUCUGCAAAUAAUCAUAAUUAGUAAAUACAUGAAGGAAGCUUGAGAAGCAGCUAAGAGAAUUGAAUUCGAAGGAAAAAUUUACAUAAAAUAAUACUAACAAGAUUCAAGGUAGGUUGAACCGAUAAUAUAAAUGGCUAACACAUUGAAACCGCAGAGAAAAACAAGGGUGAUCUAAUAUAUUUAAUGUCUAAUUCAAGAUUUUGUAGCAGCAGAUGGACGUUACACAUACUCGUGGUUGUGGAUAGUUUUUGGCAAUCCGUCAUUGGCAACCGCACUAAAUUGUGUCCUACGGUGAAUUUCUCGUACAUCUGCGUUUCUUCGAAGCUCGUCUCCAACUUUUUCACCUGACGACAGGUGGCUACAUACAAUGCAAAACAGUGUCUGAUAUAUAGACAUGCUGACUGAUAUUGAACCCUGGAGCACAUUAAGUCUACAUGAGAAUGGUUAUAAUUUUUAACCAGUUUUCUUUAUGCAUAGUGAAAGAACAAUGUCCGCAGAAAGUUAAAUACAAAUAGAAAUAGUGAAUGACAUAACGUAAACGGCGUAAGAAAAUAUAAGAAGAUGGAUAUCAACAAGAAAUUUACAUCUAAAUAGUAAAUUGGUCAUUUUCGAAGAGAAACAUUUGUAAUAGGAUUCAGAAAGUCUUCGUUUUUAGUCGACACCAUGAGAAGAUUCUGGAGUUCAUAAUAGAUUCCAUUGAAUUAUCACCAUACAAGGAUAUACAGGGGAACAACAGCCAACAUUAGUAUUUAUAAAGCACUGAUUCAGUUUAUCGGUGAAUGAUAAAUGUUGUAGAAUGCCCAAAUACAUUGAAAGAUGGAUAAAAGCUAAUAAAUGGAGGGAAAAACUUGCCUUGUUUCCGAUAUAACCCAUUACGCCGACUCCAACUGUAGACACUUUCAAGUUCUGAAUAUGCCUCCUGAGGCUUCGUCGAACCCAUAUUGAAAGGAAAAUCCCAACCAUUUGCUUGCUAAUUAUCCUCACAAAAGGCGACCUCUUCUUUUUCUGUUUAAACAAGUCUAGAUCAAGAUCAGGAACCAAUUCACUAUUUGCCGAUUCCUUGUAUUCAUCUCGCCGUAGCUUGAAUGAGCUAUAAUUUCUGAAGGACUUCACCGAUUUGAAGGAAUUUGAAUUGCUCAGAGCACAUUUAGCUAAGACAUCUAAUGAUUGUUCUGGCCAAACCAAACCAACUCUCUCCGAGCUGCUUAAUGUUUUGAUCAUCAGCUUCUUUUGUGGGGCAGUUGCUUUUUCUAAGAUACCACUUUUGUUGCUCAAUAGAAAAUGGUCCAACCUAUUUAAUCUCUUCACAGAAAAGUGCUUUUGAUGGUCAAGCUCCUCCUGUGAGCUAACAUCAGUACUAGAACUGCAGCUAGAAGUUACAUCGCAGUUCGAACUGUCUGUUGAAGCCGUGUAUUCUUCGCUGUCGGGAAAACUGAGGGCCUUCUCAUCAAUCUCGGCAUCACUAUCGGUUUCGGGAAGUAAUUCUUCGACAGUAAAAGCCGCUUCUGAUGAUGGAUUGAACCUCGACGGUGAAGGAGGAUCACUAUAGCAUUUGUACUUUGGUUUUGAUGGCUGAACUCUAUUCAGAGUCUCGCGGAUAAGACAUUCCCAUUUUGGGACUGGGCGGCCGUCCUCGGCGCCAAAGAUGUUUCCGGCAUUUAAGGGAACAAUCUCCUGAAGCCUGCAAGGUAAAGAACACAGCAGAAAAUACACCAUUCUGUAUGAAGUACACCAUUUUUGUCUAAUUCAAGGUUAAGAAACUGUGUUAUCAUCAUUACAGUUUUCUGCAUUACUUCAUAGGAAAACAACAUUACAGUCUUUAAAGAAGAACAUGAUAAAGUAUUCAAAUUUCAGGAAAUUCAUGAACUUCUUUGAAGAAAAUGCAACGCCAAGUUUCAAAAUAUAUAUACAUAAUGCUUGUGUUUAAACCAGAAUUUUAAAAAUACACAUACAUAACUUCUACAGGAAAAAUGCUAUUACAAAAAAUAGUUACCCGAGCACGUAAAUAUCGGCAGGAUCCUCCAUCUCUAGCCACUCAGUGAUGUCCAGGUUAUCUGGUGGAAGUCUCCCUCCAGCAUUCCAGGUACCUACGCAGAUCCUGUCAAAGAGCAUAGCUUUAGAUCACAGUCGCAAGUAAGAUGCUUCUUGAGUUAUAACAGCCGACUUUGUACGAAAUAGCAGAGCAUCAGAAAAAGAGAAGAAGACAUAAAGGUUAUUUAAAGAACAAGAUCAUAGUUAUAAAGAAGAUCAUAGUUAUAAAGAAGGAUGGUUAAGUGAAAGCAUACAUACUUGAGUUCUUUUGUGUUGAUGUAUUGUGCACGAAGCGUCUCAGAGUUCCUUCUUCGCAACUUGUAAGAAUUAGUGCUCUCCAAAGGUUCACCUGUUACAUAAAAAGCCAUUAGAUCAUUGCAGAGGCAAUAGUACUUGAGCAAGCACAUUGGUAAUACGCCGUCGAUUGUUGCAUAUAAAAGAACAAUUUUUGUAAAAUUAAGACCAUCCUACUUUAAUUAAUACCAUGUAAAAUGACGGUUCGUCUCUAAAAGCAUAAACUUGUUUAUGUCCCAUGUUUACUUAUAACAUCUUUUCAAUCAAUUUGAAAAAGUUUCCUACUCAAAACAUUGAUUUUUGUAGAUUAGAAGAACUUGCCUGCGGUCUCGGCUUGAAGCCCCCCAACCCUUCUCUCCUUAUCAGGCGCGCAAUUACAGUUCUCUACAAACAAAAGCCACAGACCAUUUCCAAUCAUCAAAAACCCAAAAUUCUUUCUUCGAAAACAAAUUUUUUUGAGAGAAAGGUAGCAUGCUAUCGCUUCAUUCAGUAAGAAAAUGAAUUUAGCAGCAAAGUGAAGCAUCGUGGCUUCGCAAGCGAGAAAAAUAAUAAUAAUAAUAAAAAAACCACUAAACACAAUAAUGAUUCCACAUAUUCUUCACGUCCACCAACAGCUGUCUCAACGAAAGUUUUUUAUGGUCGAAAAUUCUUCUAUUUCGCUCUAACCAUAAAGCCCACCAGGAAGAGGAGAUGAUAGUUAGCUCCUUCUUUCCUAUUAUGCCCCACUUAUCGCUACUAUCCAUCCAAAGCUCUCUGGCUGAGCUAAAGACGCUUAAGGCCUUUUUAUUCGAAAACAAAUUAAAGAGAGAAAAGAACCAAAUCAACUAGAACACGUUAAACUUGAAGAGACCUUCUUCGCCGAAUUCGCUCUCGUUGUCUCCAUCAUCGGUGCUGAAAUCAGAAUCCCUGGUGCUGAUGUUGAGCCAUUUCUUGAGAACAAUCUUCGGCCAGAAGACCUUCGACUGAUUCGAAAACCGGUCAUUAAUUUAGGCGAAGAACAAACAACCAAAACAAGAUAACAUAGAGCCAUUAGAAAGCUUAAGCUGAUAAAUAAAAAGAAAAAAAGAAGAAAACUCUUAAUACUAUAAACAAGCUUAUUUUUUUCGGUUAUAACCUGCAUGAAGUAGUUGAUUCUGCUACUAUACGUGGCACGAAUUGAACACGUCUCUAUAUAAACAGAAACUCUUGCACAUAUGUAAAACACUAGAAUUCCUAUUUAUAACUAGAGAGUAAAUGAUGUUCUUAUAAUUCUAAAGAGAUUAGUAAGUUAAGUUUGUGGAUGCGAUGAAACAAAGAUAAGAGUUAUGCAUGCAUACCUCUCCUUGCUUUCUUGGUCUAUGCCUCAUUUUAGUGUUGAAGAGGAAAAGAGAUCGAGAGAGGAAGAGCUCGAGAGAGAGAAAAAGAGGUUCUAAAUUAAUUUGUUGUCACCUCUGCUUAUGCUUCUUCUCAGUGAGCUGCAGUUGAAUAAUAGCACCAAAGAACACUAAUGAGGAUGAUGAGGAGAAAUUAAAAAUGGUGGUUUAACAUAUACAUAUAUAGAACGAAACAGUCACGGGAUUUGGAACGUAGUAGGGGUUUGGACAACAAAUGGGAUCUUGACACGUGUCAUUAAUUUGCUUUUGUGCUCAAAGGUUUAGCCAAACUUUGACUAUGUAUUACUGUAAAAUUUACCGCCGUUUCCAACACAAGUUAUAAAAAAUUUGAUGAUUAGUAUCUAUAAUAAUAAUAAUUUUGAGUUCAUAUUUUAAAUAAAAGUUUAUUUUUUAAAAUAAAAUUGAAGCAAAUAACAUGCUAUUUUCUCUCUCUCUCUCUCUCUCAAAAAAGAAAAUUCAACUCAAUCACCCUACUUAGAGUAAAUUAGAUUUAAGUCACAAAAUUUCAUGUCUUAGUCCCACCAGUAUGUCAAACUUCAUUUAAUUUUUUUUUUUUUUUUUUUCUAAUAUAGAGGUGAGGUGAUCGACAAUUAAAUACGACACCACGCGCACCAUUUAAAAUUAAUUAUAACUUAAUAGUCACGUCAUCUUUGAAACAUCAAGCGUGCUUAAACAAUGAUGUAAUAAUUUCUACCAUAUCAAUAAUCAAAGUAAAAUAAAAAGUGAAGCAUCCCAUUAAUUUAGUAGUUGUAUAAAUUAUCUAAAACAGAACAAUUGUUUGGAUUAGAAUGAUGGAAUUUCAACCAUUUUACAAAAAGCAUCACAGUAUUUUUUUUUUAAAUUUUAUAUUCCUACUUUGCCUAUAUAUUAUAGUUCAAAAGACUAAAUAAUUAAUACUUAAUAAUCCAUAUAUAAUUAUUCCCAAUUAGCCAAAGUGGCCCAUUUUACCUAUCAAUAAAGCAAAGUGUGAAGCAUUACUCUUUGUCAAGUUGGAAUUGGAUUACCCAUUUAGACAUGUGCCUUCCACCUGCUGUUUAUUUGCGGCCACAUGAUUUUGUUGUUUUUAAUAGGUCAUUAAUUAGUUACUCCAUUCCUAUCCAUCACGAUAAAUUGUCAUUUUCAAUGUGCAAAACGUUUCUUUAUAUAUUUUUUGGUUAAUGUAUAGGCCAUUUUGAAAUAGACCUCAAAUGUUCUUUUUCGUAUUUGUUUUGAUUAGCUUAAUAUGUUAAAAGAGAUAAAAAUUAGUGAUGAAUUAGUUAAAAUUUGUAACUUGAUUGGCCAUAAUUACUCAAAAUACUAGAGAUCUAACAAUAGUAGUGUCCACAAACAAAAAAUGAACGAAGAAUUCAAAAAAUUCUGUGUUAGUGCAUGUAAAUCGUGAGAGAAUAAAAUUGAUGACUAAAAAUAGUGAAGAUGCAAAGUGACAAUUUCCCUUUUCACACUCUGGUACUACUUAGAGCAAGAGAUACAAAAAUAAAAUUGUUAUCAAGUGUUUCAUUUAGGGCAUGUUUGUUUCAACGUAAGUAGACUUGGGUGGAAGUGGACUUUGGGUUAAAGUAGAGUUUAGGUGAAAAUCAAUUCAUUUCCGCUGUUUGUUUCUAACUAUGAAAAUGCAGUUCUGUGAGUUCUGUUGUUUGUUUGGUAGGAAAUAGAUGACGUGAAAAAGUGUAGUUCUCCACCCCCGGUACACUUACCUCCGAAUUAAUAUUAUUGUCUAUUUUGUAACUUAGUGAAUAAUAAAUUAUAAUAAAUAAAAAUUAAUAUAAUUUUAUAUGUAUAUAAUUAUAUAUAUGUAUAUUUAUAUAAUAAAAUUUUAAAAAAUUAUAUUAUUUGUUUGCAUAUAAAUUAUAAUAAUGCAACAAAUAAAAUUCUAAAGUUAAAAAAUUAUUAACAUUUAACAAAUUUAUUUUUCAUCAUUUUCUAAAUAUACAAAUUAGACAAAAUAUAUAUUAAAACUUACAUAAACAAAUUUAAUCACAUUACCUGACCAAAUUUAACAAGUUCCUUUGCCUCUUUGCAUUUCACCGGAAUUGACUUCGUCCUGUGGGAGUGCGAAGUCAAUUACCCUAUUUUGGGUGAACUCGACUUUCGACCGUAAUAAAAUUACGGCAAAACAAACAACGGAAGUGAUAGUUUACGGCGUAAACAACUUUCCUCCUCUCCACUUCCCCCUCACUUUCACCCAAACAAACACACCCUGACAUGCCAAAUUGAAACAUGGAUUCCUUAAAACAUGCUACAUAAUAAGAAAUAUAAAUUUAACCCACCGUCUCAAAACCGACCAUCCCUAGAGCAAGUGGUAAAGGGCUUGAUGGUUGGUACCCGAGACCCAAGUUCGAAUCCUAGUUGAUUCACAUUUCUAGCUAAGUUUAUUUUUAAAUGAAAUAAACGAAGCGGGUAGCAUGCUACCUAUCUCUCUCUCUCUCAAAAAAAAAAAUUUAGGAGAUUACACAAAACAUUACAAGUUUGAAACUAUAUAUAUGUUAACCUUUCCUAUGAUACUAUAUAUAUAAUAUUACACAAGAUAUCAAUUUAAUGAAAAAAUGUUCCAAGAAAUGUAUUAAUAAAAUUUAGAAUGCGAAAAUCUAAAUACGAAAAUUUUACAUGAGAAUUUAACUCGUUAAUUAAUUAUUUAUGAUGAAGUGUUGACCCACAAUCUUGUUAGAUUAGCAUCGAUGCUAGUUUUAUAGUACCAAAAUAUAGAUCCUUGAGAAGACAACUUAGAAACAUAUAUAUUAAUUAAUAGAUUUUAAAAUUGAAGUUAAUUUGAUAUUGAUGGAUAUGAACCUUUAGGAAGCGGCCAAGUGUUAGUGAGUCACAUGUCUCACAAUUCAAUUUGGUGACUUGUUCUUAUAUAUGUGUAGUAAUUUUGAUUAAUUGUUGUUUCCACAUUAACUAUAUUUGUCCCUAUCUGAAAUACAUUUUAAUAAGUGUACAUUUGACAAAAGAUUUGCAAACCUCAAGAAAGGGACAAUUUGUCCCUUGCAAAUCUUUACCUGGCUCGCACGUCAUUAAGAAGAGACAUCUUACAGUGGACAACUUAUUUAAACGAGGAUGGAAAGGGACUAUAGCCUAGUGUACUUUACGGGUUGAAAGAGAAAAUUGUGAAUCAUCUAUUCACGCAAUGUGUAUUUAAUAAAUUUCUAAUAGUAACAGCCUUGGAGGGGAUUUAAUUGAUAGAGCUGGGCGACGAAAUGUCCCACGUCUUGGAUAAGUCGAUUUCAAGAUUUAGAAAUCAGUCUGCUCGUUCUAAGUUGAUCGGACUAAUAGCCUACUGAUGGAUUAUUUGGAAGGUUAGAAACGAUACAAUUUUUAGAAAAAUAAACGUGGAUUCUUUUCUAGCAGUUAAUAAGAUCAAAUACUUGAACAACUAGUGGGAGGAAUUCACCGUUGGCAAAGUAGCUACUUUGUAUUUUGUUAAACUUUUUUUNUUAAUUUAUAUUUUUAAUAAAUAAAGCGGAUAGCAAACUAUCUUUUUCUCAAAAAAGAAGAAGAAGAAGUCCCUUGCACCAUAGUCUUUCUUAAUGCACUAUUCUAGCUUGAAGAUACAUAUUGAAAAUUAUUUUUACUUCUUAUAAAUUAUAAUGAAAAAACUAGUCUAUAGCUAACUUGUGAGUUUUAAAUGACUUACUCCAAAGAAGCAGUAAAAAUAUUUCCAUAAAAUUUCUUCCUAUAAAUUUGAACUCUCUAUAUUUAGAACAUAAAAGCUCGAUUUGGUUUCUAUGCAGCGAAAAUUAGUUAGCACUGUUUGGUUGCCAAGCAUAAAGUUUCUAAUAACUUUUUCCUUUCUAACUGACUGUCUAUAGAGCAAGUGGUAAAGGACUUGGUGAUUGGUAUUUAAGGUCCCAAGUUCAAAUCCUUAUUGAAUCAUAUUUUCAGCUAAUCUUAUUUCUAAAUAAAAUAAACGAAGUGGAUAGCGUGCUAUCUAUCUGUCAAAAAAAAAAAAAAAAAACUUUUUCCUUUCUAAAGUGGUAAAACCAUACAAAUUAAAGUAAUCAAACUAAAUAGGUACUAAUUAGUUAAGUAUUUGAUAAAUAAAAAAUAUGUUAUGUUUUCAAAUCUACAAAAGACUUUUUGGUAAAAACAGGGAGCUUUAUUUUGAACAUUUGCCGACAGGGAAAAGCUAGCUCUACGCUGGUCUUACUUUAAAAAAAAAAAAAACAUUACUCAUUUACUUGGGUAAAAAAAAACUUUUUCCAACCAAAAUAUUAUUAGCGAUGUGACUUGUGAGACAGUUAAUUAUGCCUUUUCCAUAGAAAAAGUCGAUGCUCCGUAGCACCUUAUUAAAACCACACCUCAUUUUCGUAUUCUUAUUACAGUAAAACUCUAUAUUGGAUUUGUCUUAUUAUUGUUGGACAACUUCUAGAAACUAGUUUGGUGGACAAACUAAGAAAAAGAAACUAAUUAAUACAGUAAAAAGAUGCCAUUUUUUUUUUCAUUUUCAAAAUGCAUCGUAAAUUAACCAACAACAAUCCAAGUAAUAACAUUCAUUCACAAGUAUUAGAUUUGAACUUACAAAAGUAGAAAUUAAAGAAGCUAUAACUUCGUCGUCUUCUCUCUCGCUCGAUCUCCUCCUCUCGAUCGAGCUCCUAAGUUUCAGCUUCACUGUGUACCUCAUUUUUAUAGCAACUAAUUACAUGUACUAUUUUGACACGUGUCCUUGAUGACAUAUACUUUCUAAAAUGUUAAGUUUAUUCCUAAUGACCAUCAGGAUUAAUUUAAUUAUGUACCACCCACGAAAUCCGGACCGCCAAUUAAGCGAAUUUAAUAGUAAUUAUUAAGGUUUAGAAAAUGAAAUCCUCGUCGGUGCCUGUAACCACCACAAAACAGGGAGCUCCCUUGUACGUCCAAUCACAAGCUGACACAUGCGCGUCGCUCGUGCGGGUCCCACCACAGCGAUCCACGUGGCAACGGGUCGGAGCUUUAAGGAACGUGUUGUGUGUUAGACGUCGUAAGUGUUUCAUAUAUUACCAUGGGGCGUUGACUUGGUGUGUGAGGUGGCACAUUGUGGUGGUGUGUUGGUACUUAGUCUCUGUGGUGGUUGUACAAGAACUCAUCAGUUAGUGUCGCAAUCCAUGGCGAACGAACGUGCUGAUUCAUCAUCACCUCCUACAUUUGCUUUGAGAGCAAUUUUUUUUUUUUUUUUUUUGGAUUUUUGAUGAUGCCCACAGUACGGAUAAAAGCUUUUUUUUUUUAAACCUUAGCUUUUUCACUGAAAUUUUCGUAGAAUUAUAAUGAUUGCAUCAAUUUAGAUUCCAAUAUAUAUAUGGAUGACCCUAAAUAAGCUGUUUAUUUAUUGUAUAAUGAACCUAUGUAUAUAUAUUUGUGGUUGUGACUUGUGAGACUUAGAUUAACGAUAAGAUCAUGCAUCUCUGGAAAUUAUUCGAUGUACCCUAUACAAAUUUUAUUAGGUUCCCUAGAAACUUAACCAGCGCUAUACAUAUUUGCACAUGGAUUCGUAGAUAUUGGGGGGAAAAAAAAAAGAAGAGAACAACUAAUUUCUCCAUGAUGUUGUUCGCAAACCUUUUUUUUUUUUUUUUUUUUCUGAGAGAUAAAUAGCACAUUAUCCGCAUCGUUUAUUUCAUUUAAAAAUAAACUUAGCUGGAAACAUGUAACUAGAAUUCGAACUUGGGAUCUCGGAUACCAACCACCAAGUCCUUCGCCAUUUGUUUUAGGGACAGUCCGUGUUGUUCGCAAACAUUUGUGAUCAUUUUUUGUAUUUUGGUCUCCGGUAUCUGGAGUUCACACUCUUUCGGUGGAAGAUACAAUUAUUAAUUCAUUCGAUCCGAGCUCAUUAUUACUGGGUACGAAGAGAGAUGGAAUUAUCUGCAUUUAAUUUCCUACAGAGUCAUAAAAAGAAAAGUAAUGUUUAUAUACGUAGACAUUGCAUGCUAAAUUUUGGUUUCAUGUGGUUUGUGGCUUGGCGCCAUUGCUCGCAGUAGGUGCAUCUACAGCGUGUAAACUAAACAAUUAAUUAUUAGUCCUUAAUUAUUUGCUAAAAUAUUGUGUAAAAAUAAUCGAUUAUUUGAACAAACCGAAUUUUAUAUAUUGAAAUAAAUUUUAUACUGAACACUGAAAAAGACUCAAAAUUAGCAUUUAUGGAUACACAUAUUAANUAAAUGUGAUAUUUCAAAUUUCAAAUUUUAAAUUUUAAAUUUUAAAUCUAUGUUGAAAUUUAAAAUCUAUGUUGAAAUUUAAAAUUUUAUGUUGAAAUUUAAAAGUUAGAACUUGAAAUUUAAAAGAGAGCUCAAGAAUGGUGAAAUUUUUUUUCUUUGGUUAGAGUGGAUUAUACUUUUACUCCAUUUUUUGGAGUAUAGUUUAACUAUACUCUAAAAAUUAUGUUACUUUUUUUCCUCCCAAACGCUUCAUAGGAUAUUUUUCCUACCGCCGUAGCAUAGUUUAACUAUGCAUAGUUUUUAGAGGUAUCCAAACGGGGCCUUAGUGUCGCAAUCCAUGGCGAACGAACGUGCUUCCAUCAUUACCUCCUACAUUUGCUUUGAGAGCAUUUUUUUUUUUUUUGGGAUUUUUGAUGAUGCCCACAGUACGGAUAAAAGCUUUUUUUUUUUAAUCCUUAGCUUUUUCACUGAAAUUUUCGUAGAAUUAUAAUGAUUGCAUCAAUUUAGAUCGAAUAUAUGGAUGACCCUAAAUAAGCUGUUUAUUUAUUGUAUAAUUAACCUAUGUAUAUAUAUUUGUGGUUGUGACUUGUGGGACUUAGAUUAACGAUAAGAUCAUGCAUCUAUGGAAAUUAUUCGAUGUACCCUAUACAAAUUUUAUUAGGUUCCCUAGAAACUUAACCAGCGCUAUACAUAUUUGCACAUGGAUUCGUAGAUAUUGGGGGGGAAAAAAAAAGAAGAGAACAACUAAUUUCUCCAUGAUGUUGUUCGCAAACCUUUUUUUUUUUUUUUAGAGAGAGAUAGAUAGCACGUUAUUCGUAUCGUUUAUUUUAUUUAAAAAUAAACUUAGCUGGAAACAUGUAAUUAGGAUUCGAACUUGAGACCUCGGAUAUCAACCACCAAGUUCUUCGCCAUUUGUUUUAGGGACGGUCGGUGUUGUUCGCAAACAUUUGUGAUCAUUUUUUGUAUUUUGGUCUCCGGCAUCUGGAGUUCACACUCUUUCGGUGGAAGAUACAAUUAUUAAUUCAUUCGAUCCGAGCUCAUUAUUACUGGGUACGAAGAGAGAUGGAAUUAUCUGCAUUUAAUUUCCUACAGAGUCAUGAAAAGAUGAGUAAUGUUUAUAUACGUAGACAUUGCAUGCUAAAUUUUGGUUUCAUGUGGUUUGUGGUUUGGCGCCAUUGCUCGCAGUAGGUGCAUCUACAGCGUGUAAACUAAACAAUUAAUUACUAGUCUUUAAUUAUUUGCUAAAAUAUUGUGUAAAAAUAAUCGAUUAUUUGAACAAACCGAAUUUUAUAUAUUGAAAUAAAUUUUAUACUCAACACUUAAAAAGACUCAAAAUUAGCAUUUAUGGAUACACAUAUUAAUUAAAAAUAUAUCCUCAAAAUUAUACAACUCAUUUAGGCACAAAGUAGAGAGCCCAUGCUUUUUGCAUGGACAAACUCAAACCAAACCUAGUACGAGGAAGAAGUUGCAUGAUUAAGCCAAAACUUAAAAGAGUCAUUCUAAUUUUAUAAGAAUAAAUAUAGAGAAAUUAAUGGACAGUGAUAUUGAUGUUAGCAGUAGUACGUAGUAGUCUCAGUGCCGCCACCACCCAUCGCUAGCGGUGACGGUGGUGGUGCACGGCCGAUUGAUGUCGUUUCGGAGACUCCUCCCCUCAGGCUCCUAUCUUGAAAUCCUCCUCGUCGUCCUAUGCUACCUCUUCAUCUCCAUCCUCCUCCUCCUCAUCCGCCACCACCGCCACCGCCGCCGCCUUCGUCACGUCCCCUUCAACUGGCCCGUUGUCGGCAUGCUCCCGUCCCUCGCCGCGGAGUUCCAUCGCCUCCACGACUUCUUCGCUGACGCCCUCCGCGAGUCCGGGUGCACCCUGGCCUUCACGGGGCCGUGGCUCUCCCGCAUGGCCUUCCUCCUGACGUGCGACCCCGCCAACGCCCACCACAUCUUCGACUCCAACUUCGCCACCUACCCCAAGGGCCCCGCCUUCGCCGACACCUUCGACGUCCUCGGCCGCGGCAUCCUCAACUCCGACGCCGCCGCGUGGCGCGCCCACCGCCGCCUCGCCCACGCCCUCCUCGGCCACCGCGCCUUCCGCUCCCACGCGGCCGCCACCGCCUCCGCCCACGUGGAGCGCAGCCUCGUGCCCUUCAUGGACCACGCCGCCGACGCCCGCCACGUGGUGGACCUGGAGGACGUGCUCGCACGGCACGCGUUCGACGUCACGUGCGCGACCGUGCUGGGGGCCGAGACCGCGUGCCUGUCCCCGAGCCUCCCCGCGGUCCCGUUCGCCGAGUCAUCCCGCCGAGCUGGUGGAAGCUGCUGAGGUGGCUCAACGUCGGGAGCGAGCGGAGGCUGGCGCGCGCCACGUCGGCCAUCGACGAGUUCAUCGCCGACGAGAUCUCCAAGCGCAAACAGAUCGCCACCGACCGCGGCGUCGACCUGCUGACCAUGUACAUGAACCUGCCCGAGGAGGAGUUGACCGGGUUCGACCGCGACGGGUUCCUCCGCGACACGGCGCUCACGUUCAUGCUCGCGGGUAAGGACACCAUCGCCGCCUCGCUCGCGUGGUUCUUCUAUGCGGUCGCCACGCACCCAGAAGCCGAGGCCAACAUUCUCCGCGAGCUGCGCGCGCUCCACGCGGAUCCCGCCGCGCCACGCAAGGUGUUCGGUGCGGACGCCCUCAGAAACUGCGUGUACCUCCGCGCCGCCAUUCUCGAAUCGCUCCGGCUGUUUCCGCCAAUUCCCUUCGAGGAAAAGGAAGCUGCGGUCACCGACGUGCUACCGAGCGGCGCGAAGGUGGAGAAGGGGACGAGGAUUGUGGUGUCGCUGUACGCGAUGGCGAGGAUGGAGGGGGUGUGGGGGAAGGACUGCUCGGAGUAUAAGCCGGAGCGGUGGAUAUCGGCGUCGGGGAAGCUGCGGCACGAGCCACCGUAUAAGUUUCUGGAAGGACGGUUUCUUUGCCGUCUUGACUUCUUAAAGUGAAAGUAUCGAUACUUUAUUUGUCCCCUAUUUAUUAAAAGUGGCUUGAGAUAAAGUAGGGUUCCAAGUCAAGUUGCGUUUCAGGUCAGAGUCCAUUUUGUUUAUCCGGGAAUGCCUAUGUUUACCUAAGCCCAACUACCUCGAUGAUCUUAUCUCUACAUUUAUCUUUGUUUUGUAUAAUUUUUUAUAUAAGUAAGCAGAGCAUUUACCCCUCUGAGAAAAGAAGGAAACUAAGUGAAGGUUAAGCAGUUUUUAAGUGUUUUUUAUUCUAAUUUUAAUUGUGCGGGGCUUAGACGGGGUUAGACUGAUGCCUAAGUGGGUCAAACAUAGGGAUACAAAACAUGUCCGUCGUCAAGCACGGACGUACGUAGUUAAACUGGCAGGUAAAUUUUAUGUCUACGUAAAAUUCUUGCUUCACUUUUAUAUAAAUCUUAUCUUAUAAUUCAUUCCUGAUUAAAAAUCUCAAACAAAUCAAGUUUUAAAUAUAAUAAAAUUUUUCAUAAUAACAACGCUCGGCUUAAGGGACUGGGCACUGGGCCAGUUUUUAGGAGAAGCCCCUCGCACAGACCUACUUUUACCGAAGACUACCACUGGGAGCUUCAAACGCUGGAAGCUAACUAGUUCGCUAAGCCGAUUGCUCCCUAGCCUAGUCGGCCCAAGCUUUAGAGAUAUCAUUUAAGCCAAGCCGACCUACUCGGCUUACAUGUCUAGUUCGUUCUUGACUUCAGCCGGCUUUUUAGCUUACUGAUUUCUUGUGUACUUAACCAGCUGAACUUCUCGGCUUACGGAAAUAUAAUUAACCAUUCUUCAUAUCUCCAACUCACACGGCCUACCGUACGUCUGAGUCAACUAGAUGAAUUACUUGAUGAGGAUCCUUCUUGUCAUUUACGCCUUUUUAUUUUCAAUGUUCAUCUGAUGAGGAUUUUUUAUGUCCUUUAACGCUCUUUUAUUCCCGCGAGAAAACAAGUGUCCCUUUUCUGGGGGAAAAUCCCGUAAUAACCAGAUAAAUAUCCAGCGGGGACAACUAGUCAAUAAUACAUAGGUACUAGCCGGUGAUAAGGACUAAAAACCCCUGGUGAAGGUCGGCUAGCCUUGGCGAACGUUGACGAGUGCCAACGAAGUUGAGGGGAAUUAAGCGCGCCGACAAUGUGAAGUUUUAGUAAAGCUACGAGGGCCACGUGUCGUUCUAACGAUGGAAAUUUACCCUAUAGCCGUAUGGUGGACAGGCGUGGAUUAACCGAGUUGUUAGCGGGGGAGCCGUCGAAAGCUUCAUUUCGAAGCCAUCGACCGCAUUAGACUCCGCGCUAAUGAAAAGUUUAGAGAUCAUGCCAAAGCAGAGUUGGCAGGCGAAGAAAGAAGACGAUUUUAGGGCGGUAGCGAAAUCAUUGUUCACGCUAGGCUCCGCACCAAAAGCUAGGUUAGUUAAAGUUUAAGAGACAUGCUCAUCAACUGCAUUAAGCUCCGCGCUAAGAUUUGGGAGACAUGCCAAAUCAAAGCCGGCAGGUAAAGUAAAGAUGCGGGGACUAGGACGGUAGAUAAAAACAGAAUAUACGCCGUAAUUAAUCCAGUAGAAUUAAUGGCGACAGAUAAGUAAUAAUAUCGGCUGUAGCCUUGAGCGAAGCUAUGCUGCUAAGCUACGCUGUCGGAAAAGAAAGAAGAAACGGCUCGAAGAUUAAAGAAAACAGAAAAAGCAAAGAGAAAUGAAGAAAGAACAGAAGAGGCUGGAGAUAAAGAGCAGGGGUCGAGGACAAGUGAUGGAAGAAGGAAUCGUAGAAAAGCGAAGCUAAUUACCGCGAUGAAGGCGGAAACGGAUGUGCAGGAAGUGACCUGAUAUGAGACGAAUUUAGUAUAGAGCGAUGUCUGGGAUGAUCUAAGUAAAACCCAGAAAGGAAAUGACUUCUGGGCGGACGGCUACUAAAAGGAAUAAGAUCGCUGUCAGAAGGUAACCGCCGGUUUAGGUAAGUAGAGGUAAGCUUUUUCGGAAGCUUAGACCAGUUCACAAAGUUUACGAAUAAACUGAACCAAUCUAACUCACCUUCCACGGAUGCCACUGAAAAACCGUCCUUCAGCCCUAGAUGCUUCGAUAAGCUGAGAGAGCCUUUGGAGGACAUCGGCUGUUAGAAGAAGAUCGAAGAUGAGAGACAAAAACUAGGGUACAAAGGUUACAAAAAGAAAAGUUUCCUCCUGGAGAAUGAGGCUGAGAGAAUCUACAUCGACGGUAGUAGCCAAAUGCCGGAGUACCUCAAUGGGAGAGGUACCGGAUGUUAGGACUACCACAGAGACUAAAACUCCGAGUAGAACUGGAGUGACUGGACCGAAUAAGGUUCAAGUAGGCAUUUAAACGUCCACUUAGAGGACGGGGGCAGUGAUCCUUCCUUGUGUGUCGCAAGGAGGAUAUGACCAACACAGUAUUAGAGAAGACAUGAGCAAGCGUGUUCUAAUUAGCCCUGAAAUAGGGUUAGCGGCAACCAAACUGAUUGCCGUUAUCUAAUCGGGAGCCCGGAAUGAAAGAACGAAAACAAAUAUCUUUUAAAAAAAUAAUGUAAUUUGGUGAUGGGAGACCUCUUCCGCAUUGCUAAUCAAGCCCAACACCACAAAAGACCAAAAAUGUUUACAAAAACGUUUAAAUAAAAGGGCUAAACACGGCUUGGGGAAAUCUAUGCUCAAGCUGACGAGUAAACUAAGAAUGCCUGAAUGAGAGCCGACAGGAGGCGGUGAUUGAAGUCCGGUAGUAGGACUAAAAUAAUGAAUAAAAUUUUACAAAAUACUUAGGGUAAGAGUAAAGAGGUAGGUGACCAGAGGUAAACAACUAGUACAGUAACCGGGUAGAACCGAAGACCGUUCUAUAUUUCGGAAAAUUCCGCUUGAACGAAGAAGAGCACGGCUGCUUAUACGUCUACAAACCAUGUGAAAAAACCGAUGUUCGCUAAAUGUGUAGCCGUAAUUUAGCGUGAGCUUUGAAAACGGAUCAUGACUCCAAAUAAGAGUAGUCAAGCAUCGUGCAGUUAAACCUAAGUGGGUUCGUUAGGGACGAGAUCGGUUCAAGAAGUGCCGGUUAUGACGACAACUGACUGGGGGAUGGUUCUCAUAUCGGCUCCAACUAACCUAGAGCUGAUACCCCUUAGCGGAAACCGCCAAGAAGUUUAAUCAUUCGAAGUCCGGUUUAAUAUGUCCCCACCAUCCAAAAGCAUAUGGCAGUGGACCCUAGUAAAACGGCUAGUGUAAAAGUUAGCUAGACGUCAUGUCCACAACAGUGCGGGGCUCGGGCGAUGGUUAAACCAGGCUAAGCCCUCGCAGCUUGUUUGCGGCCUGCCUGUCGUAGAGGGAACGGCCGGGUUCCGAGCUGUUGUCUUAGUACAUGUAUCUUAACGGGUCCUUAUUAAGUUAAUAUAUGUACUAUUCGUGCCCGUGGAAAGCGUAAAAAAUUGAAGAAGCCGAAAAGGUUUCGUGUAGGUGAGCUGUUAAUCAGGUAGGACUUACUUCAGGUUGGGAGCCUAAAGCUCUUAAGUGAAGAAAUGUCCGCAAGGCGGUCUGAUAAGAGGGUUAGCCAUGUUGAGAGACGAAUAUCAGUAAAAAGAAAGUGAAAAUUUUAGAUAUUUUUAUUAAAAAACGAAUGAACAGAGAGUCUAUGUCGCCAUGGAUAGGGUUAACUAGGACGACGAAGUAGACACGGUUUUCUUCUUGGUCUCCUCUAAAGACUAUAGGAUGGAGGAAAAAGCCAUUAUGUGAGACGAAAAGAAACCAUCAGUUAAGGUCAAAACGGAAAUAAAGUGAGGAUAGAUAUUUGCGAAUAAAACGGAAAUAAAGUGAGGAUAGAUGUCAGCUAAGGUCAAAGAGUUAGCCGGGGUCGAAGUCUCUUUUCUGGCUAACUUUGAUGAGUUAGAUGAGGAGGCGGCGGAGGUUUUGCCGUAUUUAGUUAGCAAUUUUCUGGUGUAAGCGUAAGGGUUGUUCGGCUUCUGCGAAGAAGCCGACUACAUAGCUUCCUUCCUCGGCUUCUGUACGGAAGCCGACUAUAGGCUUUUGCUUCUUGGCUUCACGGUUGAAGCCAACGAUGACUUCAUAGUCUCCUCUCUCGGCUUCUUUGUGGAAACCGAUUACAGGGGUUCCCUUUUUGGCUUCAGUGUGGAAGCCGGCGACUGAAUUAUGUUUUGAGACAAGGAUUGCUCGGCUAAUUCUAACUCCAUUUUAGUGAAAUCAAAGGAUAUGACUUAGAAAAAGAAAAUGGAUAAAUAGUAAAAGAGAAUUAUUUUGUCAGAAAGGGACUUUCUCAGAUAAAACGAAGAAGAUACUUCUGCAUCUACCUAUCCGUUGAAGCGGCCCUGCAAGCGGAUUUUUUCUCUGUUCUCCGUCUCUCUUUCUCCCACAGAGUUCUUUACUCGUUUCUAAACGGCUGUUCACUACGUCGUAGAGGAGAAAGAUAAGGUUACUGUCGUUGUCUCCCUCUUUUACAUUUACAUGGAAACCUUCUUCCGCAACUUCCUCGUGCUGGUCUCGCAGUAAACUGAGGACUUCGGAGUAGCAGACAGGGUCUUCUGGAAGACAGACGUUAAGAAGUGAGAGAGGAUCAAAGCUCAGGGUUAAGAUUACUCCCUCUACUGAGUAGUUGAUAAUGUUACAGUAGUCUGUGAGUUGUCUUUAAACUACUCACAGAUGCUUAUAUGUCGUUACCAGAGGGUAGGAAUCGAGUUUUAGGUUUCGUUAAACUAGCCGACACGCGAGAGAACGAACUGAAUAGGCUAGUCAGCCUAUAAAGAAGACGGCCGUUCACAAAACACCUCUGGAACAGUAGGGUUGAAAGAAGAAAAAACAGAGCCGUUGUUAGAAACCCACGGCUCGAAAAUAGGGAACUAGUUAUAAAAGUAGUUCAACUAGUAAAAUUCUUUUAAUAUGGGCUCCAUCGCCGAGGAUAAUGACUGCAUUCGGCUCUUCUGGUUUAGAACCUUUUGGUUCUUAGCCGAGACGUUGUUGUAUAAAAUUGAGAAUUCCUUCUCAAUCGACGUCGGCUUAGUUGAGACUGUGAAUGAAGACUCGCAGCUGAGGAGAAUGUUUCAGUUGACUUCUGAUUUUUCCUACUUCCUCACCUAUCAACCAACUUACCAUACUAGAUUGCCCACUUUUACUAGUUUUCCCAUUUAGAUUGCCGCCUUUUGAACCAUCGUGGUUUACGAAGUACGAUAAUUAUUGUAUCAUCGGCCUGAUAUAUAUAUAUAUAUAUAUAUAUAUAUUUUCGACUUGUGGAUUUGAUCGUAAUUAAUAGUUAGUGCAAGGAGAAGAAUUCGGAUUGGUUGUAGGGCAAGAAGUAUACGUCAUAGUGACUCAAGAGGCCGUGGUGGAGCACAGGGAGGUGGUGGAGGUGCGCUUUUAACAGAUAGUGCCGGCGGCGCCAGUGGAAGUCGACGCAGUCGCGGUCUAGGAAGGGGUCUGUGUAGGAACCGGGGCGCAACUUGCGNNNNNNNNNNNNNNNNNNNNNNNNNCCUCUCUUUAGCGCCGGCUAACUCCAGCUUUAGCACCGGCUUGCUUCCCUGCCGACUCCUUCUACCCCUUCUUCUGCUGUUACCGCUCCCCGUUUUACCAGUAAAAUGUGUGGCAUUGGGGGGACACUUAUAAAAAGUAAAAUGUCCCCCCGUUUCACAUCCAAAAAUUUACAGUCCGCCCCUUUCACUUUUUUGCCCAAUAAUGCAUUCCCAAAAAACAUUAAAUCGGAUUUUAAACACUCAUUAAUAUUGUAAUGCAUCAUUUCUUCUACUAAACAAAUGUUUAUUUGGAGUGUUAAAAAAUGUGUGAUGUUUUAAGUCACCAACCUAAAGUUGGAACUUUAAUAUUUAGUACGAAUAGAAGAACACUAAAUGUGAAAAAGUGAUCAAUCUAUAAUGUUAGAUACACCAAACAUUUUAUAAUAUUUUAAUUUUAAAAUUUAAUUAUUAAACUUAAAUUUAAAAAUUUUAAUAUUUAGUACGAAUAGAAGAACACUAAAUGUGAAAAAGUGAUCAAUCUAUAAUUAUAGAUACAACCAAACAUUUUAUAAUAUUUUAAAUAAAUCCGAUUUAAUGUCUUUUGGGGGAAUAUAUAUAUGUAUAAAAAAAUGAAAAGGAGGGAUUGAAAGUUUUUGGAUAUAAAAUGGAAGAACUGUAAAGUUCAACAACGUAAAUCGAGGGGAGGCAGUUCUGAAGUAAUGAUAAGACAGGUAAAGAAUAUUAUUAAAUAUUAUUUUUAUGAGAAGCUUUGUUAUAUUUAUAUAAUUUUCCAAUAAAAAAAAAAUAUCUUCUUCAUACCCAUUAAACCACUCAAACGGGAGAGAUAAUUGUGAAAUGGGAAGACUUUUAUAAAGAAAAAAAAAAAAAACUCUCUUUCCAUCGUACGAUGGGCAAAGCAAAUAAAAAAAAAUUCUAUAUUUGAAUCGACUUUUACACUUAGUCGAUUCUAAGCUUGAACCUUGGAGCCCAUGAUUGGUGGUUCGGGAAACGGUGAAUACGAUCCCUGCCGGCUAUGUAAAGAUUUCAAAAUUGCUCCGUUUUAUAUUUAAAAACUUUUAGUUUUUCUCGUUCAUUUUUUUGCCUAUAAAUUUUCUUUCAAUAGACAUAAAAUCGUAAAUAAAUAUUCAUAUUAUAAUGAGAGCAUGUUUACUCCAAAAGUUAAGUUGGUGAGACACUCCUACGUAGACCAAGAUAUAAGAUUUGUAUAAGGAUAAGCUAUUUUUAAGUUUUAGGCUGGCAAUACCAAAGCUAAUCUCAUUUAACGAACAAACUAAGAAUUUGAUAUUCAGUCCACUGUAAAACUAAGGGUUUAAAAUUAAACAACAUUAAAGACCGAACUUGAAUAUUUAACAAUAUCAGUUCGGAGUGUUAGAUUAAAUCAAUCGAUUUAAUAACUUUUAAUAACUAUAUUUUCACUACACUUUUAUAGAUAUUUUGAUAUACUUCGGUCUUAUUAAGAACGGUGUACCGUUCAAUAGAAAGUAGGGAGAAACUUUCUUGUUUUACUCUUUAAAUUAUUAAUUAUUAACUAUAUUUAUAUAUUAGUGUUAUUAUUGAUAUCAAAUUAUAUAUUAAUUAUGUAUAUUAAUUGGAUUAUAACAGUUAUUAGAAAAACCGAAGGUACUAAUUAUUAACUUUCAUUAAUUGAAGUAAGAGAUGAAAUUUGUUUAGUUUUAAAAAUUUAAUUACGUGUAAAUUAAACUGGUAAAAAAAAAGAUUCCCACCUUAGAAAUUUAUUUCAAUAGUUAUUAUAAAAAAAAUCAAACCAUCAAGUAGAUUACUUUUAAUUUAAUCUUUUAAUUUAAGUAGUAAAUGAGAAAAGAUAUAACAGAAAAGAAAAAGUAUCUAUUGUCAAUAUUUUUAAAUGUUAAUAUUCGUGUGAUAUUUAUAACCGAUCUCAUCUCACUUUUUAAACAAUCCAAAAACCAGUUAUUAUAACAAAGAAAAGAACGAAAGGGUUAAUCUAAUGGAAUAAGAGGAAAAGAAAAAAAAAACAGUACGUAAGUAUCGCAGGGUCAAAAAAUAUAAAAAUCGGUUAAGUGUAGUAAUAGGAAAUACCUUUUUCAUCUAAAUAGACUAGUUUAAUUAUAUAAGUAAACUAAUCUCUUAUUCUAUUAGUUAAUUUUUGAAUCACAUUCAAUUGGUUAACCAAAAAAAAAGGAAAUACAAAAAGAUAAUUAAAAAUUAUGUGUUACGGUGGUUCUAAACUAUACAAGUAGAUAUCUAUUAAAUAAUAAUGUAUAUAUAUUAUAUCAUGUAUAAAAAUAUAUCCGUCUUUUAUUAGAGGACAUAGUAUAAACUAUGUGAAUCCGGGCAAACCUAACCCAUAUUUAAUUUUAAAAAUUUAAACGAUUUUAUAAUGUUUAAUAAAUAAUUUUAAAUAUAUUUAAUUUUAUAAAUUUAAACUAUUUUAUAAUAAAUAGGCGGCGUUUCGCGCCCGGGAUGUGAUCAAUACCAACUACUACGCUAUUUUUAAUUCUACAACAUAGUGAAAAUGUAGUUGCUACGUAGUUAUAAAUUAGUUGAUUCAACCCAACACUUUGAACUAAUAUUAUUAAAAUUUUAAAUCUCGGUUUUUAAUGUUGUUGUUUUUUUAAAAUCCCGAUUUCACAGUGGAUCGAGUAUCAAACUCCUGUUUUGUAAGUUAAAUAGGUAACAAUACUAAAAACAAGUAAUAGAUCUAAUUUUAAUUAUUGAGACUAGAGAUUAUUUCUUAGACUAGAAAAUAAAAACCCUUCAGCAAGAUAAAACUAACAAGUAAAAUAUAGACAACUAUCCGAGAUAAUAUUAAAACUUUUUAAUUCUUUUAGAUGAAAAUCAUAAAAUUAAUUUACGAGAACUAGUAAAAUUGUUAUACAUUACAGCUAAGUUUUCGAGAUAGUAUUUUUUAUUCAACUAUCAUGCUUCCCGACGUAUAAGUAUUCCUAUACCAUCGGGAAGAACAACCAAAUUUACCCGUUCGUAAGACGGUAUGCCGCCAUCCGAUUUAAUCCGGCUCAAUGUAAACUUUACUGCUCUGCAGCUCAUCCUGGUUCGAUACAAGCUUCACCACCCUCCGAUCAACCCGGCUCAGUGUUAACUCUGUGCACCCGUGAUAGAGGUAUGUGAAUAUUUACUUAAUCAACAUAAAAAAAUUGUUGAACUCGAAAACCUUAUUUACCAAUUGCAGUCGAUCGCUAGGGUUAACCAUGAUUUCUAUUUCCGGUGCCCAAGUUAAAGACGUAUGACGUUUAAACAUACCCGCCAACCCUAACCACCGUAUUUCCCCAGUUGUAAGACAAGACAACACCUUUUGGUUCAAUCCGGUUCAGUGCAAACUUUACCACCCUCGGACUAAAUCGACUCAGUGUUAGUUCUGUACACCUCGACAUACGAGUCAAUCUGAACUAAUUCUAAUAAAUUUUAUAGAAUUUUUAUUUUAAGCGAUACAAACUAUAAUAAAUGAAUAUCACUAGCUAUCAUAAAUUAUAUUACAUCUCGUAUACUUCUUAAAUCUUUAGUUUAAAAUAUUGAAAAUUUUAAAUACUAUCUCAGUCAGUUCAAUCAUAUUUUAUUUGUCAGUUUUAGCUUGCUGAAAGAUUUUUAUUUCUUAGCUUAACAAGUUAAGUUCUACUUUCAAUAAUUAGAACUAGAUCUAUUACUUAUCUUAAAACAUGUUUUUUAAAUUGACUAAGGUUAACAAGAUAUGACAAUUUAAUCUUUUGCAGGAUAUGGCCGUUAAUUUUAACAGUUAAAACUUCGUAAAACUAACAUUCUACCUACUAUAGUUUUUAAAUACUUUAAGUUAAAAGUUUUAUAAAUUUACGAGAUUUAAUUUAUAUUGUGAUAUUUAACAGCUAAGCCUUCGAGUUUAUAGCUUGUACCGAAUACUCAUGAUUCCACUAGCAACAUUGUGGUGUUAGCAGGCUGUAGUAUGCUUUUAUACUAACUCUACCUUUUAUAUUCUCUAGUACCUGAGAUUAGAUAAUGAUAUAUAUUUUCAUCUUGGGAAUUACUUGGGAUACACUCUUCGACUGUGCACCGAAAGAUAUACGAAUGGUGCACAGUUUGAGUUUAUACCUAUAAAUCAAUAAAUUUUAAUAACCAACGCUUUAUUCGUUAUUAGACAACGCUUAAUAAACUUUACCAAUCAACGCUUUUUUUACCAGUUUGAGUUUAAAGCAUAACCGUUUAUUAAUUAAUAAAUUUUAAUAACCAACUCUUUAUACAUUAUUAGACAACGCUUAAUAAACUUUACUAACCAACGCUUUUUUAGCCAUAUCUACUGGUUUCAUUUUUGCUUUACUAACCGCCAACGAAACUUUAAUAAGAAACGCUUUUUUAAAUAUUCAUCAUAUCUAUAUUAAAAAUGAAGCAUUAAAAAAAAAGAGAUGACAGUAAGCAUUAAAACAAAAGAGAUGACAGUGAGGACGUUAAAAGAACCAAGAAUUUACAACUACGAAAUUUUGUCUUAUAUAUAAAAAAAUAACUCUUCCUUUUAUAAAUAGAAAUAAACUCUUAUUUAAUGAUGAAUCAAUUAUUAAACUUUACUAACCAACUCUUAAAGACCUGUAUUUUAUAAUCAUUUUUUACUAUCUCCAUAAACCCUUAUUUAAUGAUAAAUCAAAUAAUAAACUUUACUAACCGAGUUUUAAUGACCUAUAUUUUUAUAAUUAUUUUUUCUAUCUCUGUAAAUACCUUUCUCUUUUUUAAUUUUUAAGUGCGAAAAGAUUUUUUAAUUAUAGAAAUAUUACGAUAAUUUUUAGUGGAUAUUACUUUCUCUAAAAUAAAGUUUCAAUAACUUUAUAAACUCUUUAAAUACCCAUAAUACAACGCUUUCUUAAUCGCCACACCUAUAAUGUGCAUCUUCAGAAAUAAACUCUUAUUUAAUAAUGAAUCAAUUAAUAAAUUUUACUAACCAACUUUUAAAAAACUGUAUUUUUAUAAUCAUUUUUUCCUAUCUCCGUAAAAACCUUUCUCCUUUUUUAAAUUUUGAGUGUAGUGAGGACAUUAAAAGAAGCGAGAAUUUAUAACUACGAAAUUUUAUCUUGUAUAAUAAAGGGAUGACAGUGAAGACAUUAAAAGUAAAGCAUUAAAAAAAGGGAAGACAGUGAGUACAUUGAAAAGUAGAAGUACGUUGUUUUAAAAAAAGAAAUAUAAAAGAAUUUUUGGUUGUAGAUAUAUAAAAACUUAGAAUUUUCGUUGUCAUCCUUGUAUUAUAUACACACGAAUAAGAUUUAACACAGUUUAUACUUUCAAAUCAACUAGAGUAAUAUACGAAUUUAUAAUUAUAGUAAACAUUAAAAGUAUAGUUAAAAUCAAUAGUAAAAUAAAGCGUGUAGUUAUACAUUUACAUUUAACAAAACGUAUAGUUAAAUAUCUAUUAUCUCGUCCUAACUUAAAACGUAAAAUCAACUUAUAAAUGAAACCAGGUUUAAAAAAAAAAGAGAUCGAACACAUGAAAUUAUACAUGAUAUUAAUUCUAACUAUCAUAUAAAAAAAUAAACAAUUUUUUAUAUUUUAAUUAAUCUUUUAAAAAAACAAUAGUAGUGUAUUAUUAAAAAUAAUAAGAUAUAAUAAUAUAAUCGGCACGUAGCGUGCCCACUUUUAGAUCAUUAUUAUAUAUUGACUUGAAAUUUUCUUCUCCACCUGCUCCUCUUUUCCUCUUGCACCCUCGCCGCCCUCGAUUUCGGCGACAGUAGGAGAAAAUCGAGGUGGGCGACAGUAGGAGAAGGGCAAAAAAGGCGAAGGCGAGGCGGCGAAGGAUGGCGAAGGGGAUGUGGGUAAGGGUGAGGCAGUGGAGGACGGCGAGGCGGCUAGGCGGCGAGGCGGCGAGGCGGCGGCGAGGUGGCGAGCCGGAGGGAGUCGAAGCAACAGGGAGAUGGCGGAGGGGUAUUUUCGGCAUAAAAAUAUAUUUUUUAACGGAACCCUGACGGAACCCUAACGGUAGGGGGUGAAGUGCACAUUUUUUAUUUUACAAGGGGGCAAAGUGUAGGUUUUUAAAUGUCAGGGAGGGAAAGUGAAAAAGCGGGUUAUUACAAGAGGGUUUUCUGUAAUUUAGCCAUAUAUAUAUAUAUAAAAUGAUAAACAGUAACAGUAGCAUGCAUGCAUGGCACGUUUUAUCGUGACAAAAUUGCAAAUGAUAACAAAAAUAUAUAGAUCGAGCUCAUUUUAAGUAAAAUGUUACGUAUUUUUUUUAAAAAAGAUAGCAUACUAUUCACUUUAUUCAUUAAAAAGAUGAAUUAAGUUACAAAUGUAAAGCAACUAAGACCUCGGUGUUGGUUUAAAUGGGUCAGCAUCCUGCUCUGUGGCGAGAGGUUAUUUCGGGCCGAGUCAUGUUCGAAAUGACGUGAAGCUGGGUGGGCCGAGUCAUGUUUGAAGUGACAUGAGGCUGGGUAGGCCGAAUCACAAUUGAGAUCCGUGGGCGUUGUAUCUAAUACGCUUUAAGUGAAUUGGUUGCGUAUUUCUAACAGCUCGAGCUUUUGGGAUUAAUAGUUAGUGUCAACGAUCCGACACUUGGUUCUGGUGUGCUGACGAACAAAAAAAAAGAAAUAAACAAAACAAAACCUCUACCAAUUACGGUAGUCCCGAUUUGCGGAGAGAGCUCACUCCUAUAGGUUCAUCAACUGUUGAAUCUUGUGAACUGCUAGCAGAGGGUCAAAUUGGGCUUUUAUAAAGAUCACACCGUUCCUAACAUCCCAAGUGACCCACCAAUAGGCUAUUAGACUAUAUACUUAGCCUAGUGCUCAUUUAUUGCAUUCUUUUCCUAACCAUCCACCUAUUCCAGACCAAAUUACUUUAUCUCCCAAAUCCCUAGACUGGACACCGUCCAAGGCCAUUGCUACUAAAAGUCUAAUAAAAACACAUCGUGUGAAUAUAUGAUCCAUAGUUUCUUAUUCAACCUCACACAACACACAGGUUGUGUUUCUGGUCCAUCUUUUCUUUUGUAGAUUAUAGACUGUAUGGGGUCUUUAUUGAGAACGAGUCAGCAAAACACUUUCACUUUUAAGAGUAUUCUAAGUCUCCAGACCUUGCUAGCUCGGAUGUCCCUCGUGCCCCUAUCACUCAGUACCGAAUAGGCCGACUUCACUGUGAAUAUUCCAUCCGGGCUCCAACACCAAAGCACACUGUCUAGUCUCUAUUCCGGUCUGAAUUUGAAGAUUCUCUCCCUAAGAGCUGAAAAACUAGGACACAAUCAAGCUAAACUAAAUCCUCAAAUCUCCGCGUCAAGCCGCAUAACCUUAAGGAAAAGGGCCCUCCAGACUUCCCUAGUAAGACUCCGGAUGCUGCUUAUUCGUAUAUAUAUGCCGAAGAUGCUUACUUGUGCCACAAAUCAAUCGGUCCAUGGGUCUCGAGACCCUGGUUGUCUCAUCUCUAUAGCCUAAUUCAUUUAUUCAAUGAAUGAAGCAGAUAGCGUGCUACCUAUUCUCAAAAAAAAAAAGAAAAAAAGAAAAAAAAAGAGAUCCAUGGGAUGCAGCGCCAAAGAAAGAUGAAGGAUGUACUGAUAUCAAAUCCAACCGUCACUCGCCACACAUAUCACUAAUUUCAAAUUUUUGCAACUCGUCGUAGAGAACACCUCGGGGAAUGAUAAUUGCAAAGUGAUUAUCCCACACCAAUGGUCCAACAAGAAAAUAAAAAAUACUCCCAUUGCUAAACUUAUAGUAUUCUCCUCAUUUGAAGAUUUUGUUCUAACUUAGUAGGUUUUUAAUAUUAUGUAUUAUGCCACCUUUUGUAGGUUUUUAAUGUGCUAGCUAUAAAUUAUGUGAUUUGUAGCUUGAAUAAAGAGUUUUUUUUUUUUUUUUUUGNAUAUACAUGCUAAGAAAAGAAAAUGAUAAACAGUUAACAGUAGCAUGCAUGCAUGGCACGUUUUAUCGUGACAAAAUUGCAAAUGAUAACAAAAAUAUAUAGAUCGAGUUCAUUUUAAGUAAAAUGUUAUGUAUUUUUUUAGAAAAAGAUAGCAUACUAUCCACUUUAUUCAUUAAAAAGAUGAAUUAAGCUACAAAUGUAAAGCAACUGAGACCUCGAUGUUGGUUUAAAUGGGUCAGCAUUCUGCCCUGUGUUGAGAGGUUAUUUUGGGCCGAGUCAUGUUCGAAAUGGCGUGAAGCUGGGUAAGCCGAGUCAUGUUCGAAGUGGCAUGAGGCUGGAUGGGCCGAAUCACAAUUGAGAUCCGUGGGCGUUGUAUCUAAUACGCUUUAAGUGAAUUGGUUGCGUAUUUCUAACUGCUCGAGCUUUUGGAUUAAUGGUUAAUGCCAAUGAUCCGACACUUGGUUCUGGUGUGCUGACGAACAAAAAAAAGAAAUAAACAAAACAAAACCUCUACCAAUUACGGUAGUCCCGAUUUGCGGAGAGAACUCACUCCCAUAGGUUCAUCAAUUGUUGAAUCUUGUGAACUGCUAGCAGAGGGUCAAAUUGGACUUUUAUAAAGAUUGAACCGUUCCUACUUCCUAACAUCCCAAGUGACCCACCAACAAGCUAUUAGACCAGUUAGCCUAGUGCUCAUUGACGGCAUUCUUUUCCUACAAACCAAAUUUACUUUAUCUCCCAAAUCCUUAGACUGGACACCGUCCAAGGCCAUUGCUACUAAAAAGUCUAAUAAAAACACAUCAUGUGAAUAUAUGAUCCAUAGUUUCCUAUUCAACCUCACACAACACACAGGUUGUGUUUCUGGUCCAUCUUUUCUUUCGUAGAUUAUAUACUGUAAGAGGUCUUUUAUUGAAAACGAGCCAGUAAAACACUUUCACUUUUAAGAGUAUUCUAAAUCUCCAGACCUUGCUAGCUCGGGUGUCCCUUGUGCCCCUAUCACUCAGUACCGAAUAGGCCGACUUCACCGUGAAUAUUCCAUCCGGGGUCCAACACCAAAGCACACUGUCUAGUUUCUAUUCCGGUCUGAAUUUGAAGAUUCUCUCCCUAAGAGCUGAAAAACUAGGACACAAUCAAGCUAAACUAAAUCCUCAAAUCUCCGCGUCAAGCAGCACAACCUUAAGAAAGAGGGCCCUCCAGACUUCCCUAGAAAGACUCCGGAUGCUGCUUAUUCGUAUAUAUAUGCCGAAGAUGCUUAUUUGUGCCACAAAUCAAUUGGUCCAUGGGUCUCGAGAUCCUGGUUGUCUCAUCUCUGUAGCCUAAUUCAUUUAUUCAAUGAAUGAAACAGGUAGCGUGCUAUCUAUUCUCAAAAAAAAAAAAAAAAAAAAAAAAAGAUCCAUGGGAUGCAGCGCCAAAGAAAGAUGAAGGAUGUUCUGAUAUCAAAUCCAACCGUCACUCACCACACAUAUCACUAAUUUCAAAUUUUUGCAACUCGUCGUAGAGUACACCUCGGGGAAUGAUAAUUGCAAAGUGAUUUUCCCACACCAAUGGUCCAACAAAAAAAUAAAAAAUACUCCCAUUGCUCAACUUAUAGUAUUCUCCUUAUUUGAAGAUUUUGUUAUAACUUAGUAGGUUUUUAAUAUUAUGUAUUAUGCCACCUUUUGUAGGUUUUUAAUGUGCUAGCUAUAAAUUAUGUGAUUUGUUGCUAUUUUUUUUUUUUUGGAGAAAUAGGUAGCACGCUACCCGCUUCAUUUAUUUCAUUUAGAAAUAAACUUAGUUGGAAAUGUGAAUCAACUAAGAUUCGAACUUGGAUCUCAGGUACCAACCACCAAACCCUUUGCCACUUCCUUUAGGGACGGUCGGUGUGAUUUGUAGCUGUUGUCGAGUAAAUUUCCAGGAAUAUAUAUAAUGAACAGUUUAGCUACAAAGCAAGUUCCUCACUGUGUACGAUCGAGCCCAUCUAAGAAAAUCAAACGCCCAAUUAGACCACAAUAUACAAACAUUGCUCACAACGCUAGGAGCCCAUCAUGGCCUAAUUAAAGUAAUUAGCCCGGUCCAAUUUCAAUUAAGCAUUUUGAUUAGCUAGAUAAAGUCUUGGGCUUAGAACUACAUGUGUCAUUUAAUUUCAAGUUGGGCUGGUUUGCUAAGUAGGAUUGCCCUGAUUUGAGGUAAGNGUUUUUUUUUUUUUGAGAAAUAAGUAGCACGCUACCCGCUUCAUUUAUUUCAUUUAGAAAUAAACUUAGUUGGAAAUGUGAAUCAACUAGGAUUCGAACUUUGAUCUCGGGUACCAACUACCAAACCCUUUGCCACUUCCUCUAGGGACGGUCAGUGUGAUUUGUAGCUGUUGUCGAGUAAAUUUUCAGGAAUAUAUAUAAUGAACAGUUUUAGCUACAAAGCAAGUUCCUCACUGUGUAUGAUCGAGCCCAUCUAAGAAAAUCAAACGCGAAGUAGUUGGGCCCAAUUAGACCACAAUAUACAAACAUUGCUCACAACGCUAGGAGCCCAUCAUGGCCUAAUUAAUGUAAUUAGCCCGGUCCAAUUUCAAUUAAGCAUUUUGAUUAGCUAGAUAAAGUCUUGGGCUUAGAACUAUGUGUCAUUUAAUUUCAAGUUGGGUUGGUUUGCUAAGUAGGAUUGCCCUGAUUUGAGGUAAGAGAAAUUAAUGCUAAUUGUACAAUCAAAACUUGGGCAUAAAUUUAAGUCUUAUAUUAGAUUCAUCCAAAGACUUGGACAAUAUUUUAAAACUUUUAGUAUUAAAAAAAUCAGUGUGUGAUAAUUUUUUUUUUUUUUUGUUUUCAAGAGAAAGGUAGUACGACAUCUAUUUCGUUUAUUUUUUUAGAAAUAAACCUAACUAGAAAUUAUUUUUUAAAAAAUAAAUUUAACUGGAAAUGUAAAAUAAUUAAGACUUAAAACUUGAGAUCUUGGGUUGCACUAGGGAUAUAUAAUUGGUAGUUUGUGAUAAGAUUGGUGUAGAAAAAUAAAUUUUUGGAUAAAGAGAGUGUACGAUUUAUGCUUACUUUUGAAACCCUUUUUGACCAUUAAAACUGAGGUAAUUAAUGCAAGUUUUGAUCUAGUCAAACUUCAUCCGGAGCUUCUUAAUGAGGAGAGUAGCAGUAAACCACUAACCAUGAGGCCGCAUUUAAUUUACUGUUGAGGAUUGCAUAGAUAAGGUAAGUUCUGAUUCUGAUCGUUUUGACAAAACAAAAUUCCAUCGGGAACUUCUUAGUUAAUGAGGAGACCAACAAUAAACCACUAACCAUGAUAUCACAUUUAAUUUACCUUGAGAGGCGCAUAGUUAAAUAAUAGUCUAAUACUUGAGAUCGAUGACAUUUCAUUUACUUUGAGAUUCGCGUAAAUUGAAAUCUAAAUUGACAAGCAAAAUUUUAGUGGGUGUUUAUUAAUUUUUUCUAUCGAAUAUAUAAAAUUGAGCUCCUACACUUUUAAAAGUAUUAAGUCAUUAGUGUUUAUAGGUUUUCGGCUUUAAAUUAAAAAAUGUGCGGUUAAAAUGAUAGUGGUUUUCUAGAGUUGAGUGGGUGGUUGGUUAUAUAGUAUAAUCUAACGAAUAGAAACGAUAAAACAGGUAAAUCUAAUAGCAGAAAACUUAUAAGCACCAAGUGCUUGUUACAAGUAAUUAUUUCCUACUGUCUACAUACAGUUUUUCUUUUUUCCAAAGAAAAUUAAACCUUACUAAAAUACAAACAAAACUAGCAAGUAGCUAGGUCAACGCAUGAAUUGGAAUGUUAAUGGUGAGACAAAUACAUGGAAUGGGGAUUGAAGUGGGCAGUGAAGUUGACUAUACGUAGUUUUUCUAAACACUAUUCAGUGAACAGUCAAAUUUUUAAUUAUAACGACAAAGUCAAGCAAAUCUGAUUUUAUAAAACCAAACACUACCUUAGGUAUUGAUAGAGAGUCAUAUUAUAUCCCAAUCACUUAGUUAGAAAAAUAAAUGGUCAAAAUUUAAAUAGUAUAUUAAAGUAUUGCUCAUUGGUUGAUUUCGGAAUAAACAGUUCUUAUUUAUUUCUAAUACAAGUAUAACUCUCAAGAUGAAUAAUUACUUGUAGCAAGCGGAGUUAGCUAAGGGCUUGGUAGUUACUACGGUUCCAAAUAUAUUAAUUAAUUAGAUAUUUAGUUAAUAAAUAAAUAGAUUAGUCAAAAUAUUAAUUAGCUAAUUAAUUAUCAAUAUGAAUACUACUUAGGGCGUGUUUGGUUUGAAGUCGGAGUCGGAAUCGGAAUCGGAAUCCAAAUAAGCUAGAAUCGGAAUCGGAAUGACUCAUUAUCUAAUUCUGUUUGGUUCAUCACCUGAAUCCGAAUGGGAAUAAAUCAUUCUCAUUGUCGGUGUUUGGUUCAUGUGGAUAUAAAAAACGCAAUCAAAUUAAUAUACUAACAUUAUCUUUAUAAUAUAUUAAUUUAAAUUCAAAUUAAAAAUUAAAUAUUAAAAAUUUACAUCAAAAUUUUGAAANAUUCAUAAAUUUAAUUUAAGUUGAAAUAAAAUUUGAAUAAAACUUUAUAUAAAUUAAAAUUUAAUUUAAAUUCAAAUUUAUAAGUUAUAUUCGAAAUACUUGAUUAAAUUUUAAUUUUUAAUUUAAGUUUAAAUUAAAAUUUAAAAUUAUAUAUUUAAUUUUUAAAUUGUAACUCAUAUUUUAAUUAAAAAAGUUGAAAAAAUAAAUUUAAUCCGAAUAAAUAUCCAUUCUGUCCGAAUUCAGCUUUCAAUCCGACCUCCUAGGCCGGAUUGAAAAAAGAGGUGAUCAGGGGGAUUCCCAUUCCACUCGGGAAUCGAAAUCGGAAUGGGACUCCCGCGUACCAAACACCCACAAAUAGAUUUAUUCAUUCCGAUUCCGAUUCCAGGGGGAAAAAGAAGCGAACUAAACAAGCCCUAAAUGCACAUAAAAUAAUUAAUUAUUUAAUUAGCUAGUAAAUUAUGAAUAAAAUUUAUUGCUCAACUAGUUAAUUAAAUAUUUAUUGAUUUAAUAAUCUAAGUGAUUAGUUAGUUAGCUAAUUAGUAAAUAAAUUAUUAUGUGAUUCAUUGGUUAACAAUAUUUAAUAAAUUUCAACGACAUAAUUAACAAUUUUAGUUGGGAAAUAACAGUUGUAAAUACUAGUUUCACUUACAAGGGUGGAACCAGAAAAUAACCCAUUAAGAGAGAAACAAAAACUUUCAUGGCGAUUGGAUGAAUAAGGAGAAAGAAUAAGUUAAAGGUCUUUAUUCCUUCCUUAUUUCCCAAUCAAACAGUACUUUUGAAAUUUACUCCUCUCCUUAUGGUCAAAAAAAAAAAAAAAGAAGCAAUAAAAUAUAAUUUAAGACUGUAGAGGUAGGGCCUGGAACUUGCAUAGUUGCAUGAUAAAGUUAUGAUGUGGUGUGUAGAAAGAGACUUUUCAUUUAUGCCAAGGCUCUGACCCUGGCAAUUAUGUAGCAAUCCCCUAAUAAGGAACAGUAACGACACCCACUUAAUCAUAAUUUUUCUUUUUCGAUCCAUUAAACAAAUUAAAUAUUUUGUGUUUUUUAAAUAUUGUCGCUGUUAAGCUCAAAAGCCGCCCGAAAAUGUAGAUCAACCACCUAUUUAAUUUACUCCACACAUUAACAUCAAAUUCCAGAGAGAAUGAGAGAGAGAUGUUUAAAUACAUAGAUUGAGACCAUCUACUGUUUGCAUUGUGACUUGUGUGCUGUGGAGCUUAUUCGAGAGGAGGGGCUGGGGCCCAAAGAAAGGGAUAUAUUUACCAUAAACACAUGAAAACUAAAAGAGGCCAAAAUUAAAGGGGGAUUGCAUAGCUAUAAAACGUAAUAAAGCCCAAGGAAAGAGAUUGAGUCAUAAAUAAUUAUAUAGUGCUCACAAUUCCCACUUAAUUUGAAACUCCCUAAUUGCCGUGAUGUGGACUUAUGUCAUGUUUGGUUUACUAGUUAAAUUGAAAUAAAUGAAAUACAGUAGGGUACGUUAUAUUGAAAUGCAAACUACAAUGAUGAAUUACUCAAAAUUAUUUAAUUCAUUAUUAGAAUGAAAAUUGAAAUGGACAAUAAACGUAUUUAAAACUUAAUUAGAAUAACUAGAACUUUGAAAGAGAGGUUUUGCUUGCAUGCAUGGUUAAUUAAGAGAGAGGAAAGUGAUAAAGGAAGAAAAGAGGGAGUUUUGAGUAGUUUACUCUAAAAUGAGCCAAUAUGAAAUUUAAAAUCGAAUUGGGCUAUAAUUAAAUGCAUGAAUUGGGUUAUUUCAGAGUUUAAAUCGAAAUUAGUGACUCUCAUUUUUAUUUCAGAGUUUAAAAUAGGUAAAUCAAAGAACUUAAAUUAAAUAAAAAAUAAUUAAAAAAUUAACUACGAAUUGGACGAAAUUUGAAUUUAGUUUUGUUUACCUAAUAUUUUAAUUUCAGUCCAAUAUUGAUUCAGUUAGAAACUUACAAUAAAUCCAGAGAUUCGGUCCGAAUUAAAUGUGCAUGAUUUUCCCGAUUUGGCCCGGAAUAAUUGGAUGGUCCCGUUUGGCGCUCAGUUUUGGGACUCGGCGGGAAUUAUUCGUAUUUGCACUCGGAGACAAGAUACACAAUCACCACAUCAUCAGGAAUCAUGAAGGCACAAUCAAUCAACUCUCCUUAGCUUAGCCGAGCUUAGCUUUCUUAGUUUCUGCAAUUACUAGUAUCUUCGUAGGAAAAUUGCGAGAGUACCGGUAAUUUUAUUGUUUGGCCGAGGUAAAGUCUGUUUCAUCUUCGUCGAGAUCAUCUUGCUUUUCGAUGUCAUCUUCAGCCUUCGUCUUCACCAAAAUCCGAAGCUCUCUUCGUCCUCAACAGGCAAAAACCUCUCACUUUCUGGUUCCGAAAGCUCCAACACAGACAAGUGGUCGAGCGUCUAGUGCUCGAAUCUUCGCUAUCAAAGGAUCAAAAUUCUGAAGACAGCGCAUCUACUCGGAUUAUUCCUGUCCUGACUUAAUGUCCGGUCUGAAGAUUAAUAGACAUAAGUCCGAACUUCUAUAUAUGAGCAAAUGCGAUGACCGGGGAGAGAGGCCCACUGAGGUCAUAGGAUAUAAGCUAGGAUCUUUCCCGAUCCGCUAUCUCGGAUUACCUCUCUCGAAUAGACUCCUUCGAAAAGAGGAUUGGUGGUCCAUCAUAGAACGUGUUGAGAGACAGAUUGAAGGGUAGCAAGCUAAACUCCUUUCUCAAGGUGGCAAGUUAGUCAUGGUUAACUCUAUGUCUCGAAUUUGCCCCUUUAUUUCUUUUUGGUUUUUCAAGCACCCAAAUGGGCUUUGCGUCGCAUCGACACUCUAUGGAGGGCCUUUUUUUGGAAAGGGCGGACUCAUGUCUCUAAGGGCCAUUGUUUGGUGAGCUGGAAGUCUAUGUGUAGAAGUAGAAAGGAGGAAGGAUUAGGAGUUUUGGACUUGGAAAAUUUAAACUUAGCCCUACUAGCGAAAUGAUGGUGGAGGUAUCUCGCGUAUAAAACCCUUCAGUGGGUUUUCCUUUUUGAUGGCAUUUACUACGUCCAACAGAGAUCGCUCGGGAAAGGCUUCUCGUUCAGACCUUACUCUCAGUGGCGGCGGAAUGUCCUAGCGAAUAGGGCCCUCUUUAAGUGUGGAAUUUUGUACUCGAUAGGGGACAGACGUAGACUGAGGUUUUAGUUGGACAUCUAGGUCGGAUGGUCCUCCCGGACUAGUUACCCCAACUUCUCUGAUGUUGUACAGAGUUUAAGUUGUAGGGUGAGAGAUUGUUAUACAGACGCACAGAUAGAAGUGGCGUAACAUUCUGGCAGGGUUUGAUCCUAGCUCUCAACCCGAUAGGGAUUCGAUCUCGAAGCUGAAGGAGUCGCUGUUGACCGUGGUGUUAACUGACAGUCCCUAUAUAGUCAGAUGGAGAUGGACCUACUCCGAAGUAUUCUCGGUUAACUCGCUUUACUAAUUCUUGUAAGAUGGAGGGGCCAAAGACAACAGUUUCACUCCGCCGUGGAAGAUUAGAAUCCCACUGAAAGACAAAAAUUUUGUAUGGCUUGUUUUGAAGAGAAAGGUACUAAUAGUGGAUAAUCUGUUGGAAAGGGCUAGCACAGUGAGCAUUAAUAUGUCUUGUGUAUGGUGGAGUCUGAGACGGUAGACCACCUCUUCGUCGAGUGCAAGAUUACAAGAUCCCUCCUGGGCUGCCAACUAUUCAAUAAAAAAUUUUUACUCAAUUUCUGCCAGUGAGUGGGUUGUGGGGGUCUAGUAGACUUAAAGGCGGCGCCUUAGGGGGUAAGGAGCUUAUAACUAUUACCUCCUUAUGAUGGACUAUUUGGUUGGAGUGAAAUAAGAGAAUCUUUGAGCAAAAGAAAUACAACUUGAGCCAAUUGUUGGCGCAGUCAUGCGACUUUAGAAAUCUGUGAAAGAUUUAUUGUGUUUCACAGUAAAUUGAUUUUUUUUUUUUCAAUUCAAGGCCUGGCUGCCUCAAUAUAUUACUUAAUUCAACUUCUUUAUGAAUGAAGCGGUAACAUACUAUCUUUUCUAAAAAAAAAAAAUUGUGCUACAUGUCAUACAUAUUUUUCUUAUUUCUGAAAGUACAAUUGUAAAAAAAUUGAAUCUUUACCUUCAACAUGUAUUUUUUGCCUUUAUAUAAAUCACAAAUAUGAAACAUGUGAUGGAAAAGCAUGAUCCGAUACCAAGAAGUGUUUGUUUGUGGAGUAACCUAUGAGCUAGAUGAUGAAAAGAAAUAUCAGAAUGUGGACCGACAUCUGGAUAGGGAAAAUCCCCCUCCGUACCCUUUUUUCGGACAUCUUUCGGAACAUCAGAAACAAGCAGGCCCGAGUAUUUCAGUGCUGGAACCAGGACGGAUGGAAAUAGCAUUUUAUUUGCCGCGGCUUCUUGACGUCACAAUCCAUCGAAAGUCGCAGACAGCUAACGUGGCUUAAAGAUAUGCUCCGAGGCCACCGCGGCACCGCCCCUGCGACAACCGGGACUCAAUAAAAUGGCGGUGGACCUCCAAUCAAUUAUUCACUGUCAAAUCCCUUUACCAGUUCAUAUCAGAUGCGGGACAACGAGUCCUGAUGAAACAGCACAUUUGGAAAUUGAAAAUUCCACUCAAAAUCAAAAUCUUCAUUUGAUUGCUAGUUCGGAAGAGAUUACUCACUGCUGAUAGACUGCUCAAUCGAGGAAUAUUGGUAGACCAAAAUUGUGUUUUCUGUGCGGUACUCACGGAAAGCUGCGACCAUCUUUUUAGUAACUGCGUCUAUGUACGAUACCUGCUCCUCGGUGUGGAAGGACUGGAUGCAUCUGACGAUAGCAUGGGUGACGUCCGAAGUCUGUGGGCUGGAAUUUGCGACAUCUCGGUUAGCUCGUCGAGAACACAAGGCUUGACCCUUUUGGCCGUAAUUUGGUGGGUGGUCUGGACAGAUAGAAACAAAGCCAUUUUCCAAGGAACCACGCACAACGCUACCCAGUCUCUAGAACAUGUAAAACUUCUGAAUAACACUUGGAACACACUGCUGUGAUGUGCCGCUUGGCCUUCUUUCUUUCUCUCCUUUCUCACCUUACGCCUUCUUAUUUGCUUUUCACUUUCACUUUUAUCUCUUUUGCCUGUUUCUAGGAGGCCUUAGCUGAUUCCAUAUUGUACGCUCAGUUCAUUUUAUUUAAUGAAGGAAGCAGGUAGCUUGCUAUCUAUUUCUCAAAAAAAAAAAAAAAUUAUGAAACAUGUAGUUAGAGAAUAUUUCUAUAAACAUAUAUUCAAUACCCUAUUAACAGGAACGUCUUGAUUUCCCAUUGUCUUGUAUUUUGUCUUUUUCUUGGAUCAUUAUCCUUCAUUUAAAAUUACUGAUUGGCAAUUAUGUAACAAACUAUAUUCAAAUAAAAAAAAAAGUUAACGAAACUAGAUUUAAGAUUUUCAUGUGAAAUAAACUUUUAUCUCAAAAAUUUUAAACUCCUAGAGACUACAGCUGCUUUAUAUCCGACAUUAUCUCUCAUCUUUGUUUCAGUCAAAGAUUAGAUUUUUUUUUUUUUAUCAACUCAAGAUCGUGAACCUAAAUCAAACUGAUUAAAAUUUAGAGCCUGUAAAAAUCUAAGCCAGUAAUAUUCUUCCAAGGGAUGGAAACUAGAGAUAGAUUCGAGAAUGAUGGAACGAUUGAAUAUUGCUGCGAAAUAAGCCUAACAAUUGAGAAAUCGAACCAGUCCAAAAUAAUGCAUGUGUCAACUUUUUUGUUUUUUUUUUUUCGUUUUUUUUUUCAUGCAUUUUGGUACUUGAAUAAGGCCACGUUGCAUAGGAUUUUCCUUCCUUUUUCUCAAAAAAAAAGAAAAGAAAAAUCUCCCUCAUACUAUUANAAUUGAAUCUUUACCUUCAACAUGUAUUUUUUGCCUUUAUAUAAAUCACAAAUAUGAAACAUGUGAUGGAAAAGCAUGAUCCGAUACCGAGAAGUGUUUGUUUGUGGAGUAACCUAUGAGCUAGGUGAUGAAAAGAAAUAUCAGGAUGUGGACCGACAUCUGGAUAGGGAAAAUCCCCCUCCGUACCCUUUUUUCGGACAUCUUUCGGAACAUCAGAAACAAGGAGGCCCGAGUAUUCAGUGCUGGGACCAGGACGGAUGGAAAUAGCGCUUUAUCUGCCGCGGCUUCUUGACGUCACAAUCCAUCGAAAGCCGCAGACAGCUGACGUGGCUUAAAGAUAUGCUCCGAGGCCACUGCCCCUGCGACAGCCCGGACUCAAUAAAAUGGCGGUGGACCUCCAAUCAAUUAUUCACUGUCAAAUCCCUUUACCAGUUCAUAUCAGAUGCGGGACAAUGAGUCCUGAUGAAACAACACAUUUGGAAAUUGAAAAUUCCAUUCAAAAUCAAAAUCUUCAUUUGGUUGCUAGUUCGGAAGAGAUUACUCACUGCUGAUAGAUUGCUCAAUCGAGGAAUGUUGGUAGACCAAAAUUGUGUUUUCUGUGCGGUACUCACGGAAAGCUGCGACCAUCUUUUCAGUAACCGCGUCUAUGUACGAUACCUGCUCCUCGGUGUGGAAGGACUGGAUGCAUGCGACGAUAGCACGGGUGUCGUCCGAAGUAUGUGGGCCGGAAUUUGCGACAUCUCGGUUGGCUCGUCGAGAACACAAGGCUUGACCCUUCUGGCCGUGAUUUGGUGGGUGGUCUGGACAGAUAGAAACAAAGCCAUUUUCCAAGGAACCACGCACAACGCUACCCAGUCUCUAGAACAUGUAAAACUUCUGAAUAACACUUGGAACACACUGCUGUCAUGUGCCGCUUGGCCUUCUUUCUUUCUCUCCCUUCUCACCUUACCCCUUCUUAUUUGCUUUUCACUUUCACUUUUACCUAUUCUGCCUGUUUCUAGGAGGCCUUAGCUGCUUUCUUAUUGUACGCUCAGUUCAUUUUAUUUAAUGAAGGAAGCAGGUAGCUAGCUAUCUAUUUCUCAAAAAAAAAAUAAAAAAUAAAACAUAUAGUUAGAGAAUAUUUCUAUAAACAUAUAUUCAAUACCCUAUUAACAUGAACGUCUUGAUUUAUCGUUGUCUUGUAGUUUGUCUUUUUCUUUGAUCAUUAUCCUUCAUUAAAAUUACUGAUUGGCAAUUAUGUAACAAACAAUAUUCAAAUAAAAAAAAAAAGGUUAAUGAAACUAGAUUUAAGAUUUUCAUGUGAAAUAAACUUUUAUCUCAAAAAUUUUAAACUCGUAGAGACUACAGCUGCUUUAUAUCUGACAUUAUCUCUCAUCUUUGUUUCAGUCAAAGAUUAGAUUUUUUUUUUUUUAUCAACUCAAGAUCGUGAACCUAAAUCAAACUGAUUAAAAUUUAGAGCCUGUAAAAAUCUAAGCCAGUAAUAUUCUUCCAAGGGAUGGAAACUAGAGAUAGAUUCGAGAAUGACGGAACGAUUGAAUAUUGCUGCGAAAUAAGCCUAACAAUUGAGAAAUCGAACCAGUCCAAAAUAAUGCAUGUGACAACUUUUUUGUGUUUUUUUUUUUUGCAUGCAUUUUGGUACUUGAAAAAGGCCACGUUGCAUAGGAUUUUCCUUCCUUUUUCUCAAAAAAAAAGAAAAGAAAAAUCUCCCUCAUACUAUUAUAUAUAAAUGACAAGAGUCUCGAUGAGUCCAACGUAUUAAUUUGGACCAAACAAUAUUCAUUAAUAAGUAUUUCCUUUCAAAAUGUACGCACUCUUGCAAGAUAUAUGCAACCAGUCUAACCAAUCUUCUGGACUAUAAUUUAUUAGAAACCAAAAACCAUAUAAUUGAAAUAUCUUAUCACUACCCCAUAAAAGCUCCAUCCUGCUGUAAUUUGAUUAUUCCAACAUACUCUUGGUCUACCCAGUAAUAUUUUUAAGGAUAAUUGAUGAUCACUGUUUAUAUAUAUAUAUAGAGAGAGAGGAGAGCUAGAAUACUGUCGAUAGCAAAUGGGCUCCGUUGCCACCCAUUUGUUUUCGAUGAUAGAGUUUCCAAAUCGACGAUCGACACCGUUGAACAUAGUCUAUACCACUUGAAGUAUUUAGAAAUCAAAUUUCAAAUCUUUUCGACAUUAUUUGCCUAAUGAUCAAAGGAUUUCAAAAGUUGUAAUUUUAAUGAUUGAUAUAAGGUGUUUUCUCGUUUAACGGUGUAAAGAUACCCAAAUCAAUUGAAUUUUUGUUAGAAAAAAUUUUAAACUAUUUAAAAUAAGAUCUAUACUGUUGAUCUUGACUACAAAACUCCUGUCAUCAUUUUUUAAAGAAUAUUUAUUUUUAGCCAUUCAUUUUGUGUCCACUUGAUGGAUAAGAGAAUAAUAUCGAAAAUAUAUGAAAUUUGAAUUCUAAACACUUCAAAUGGUAUAGAUCCUGUUCAACAAUGCCGAUUGUCAAUUUGGAGGCUCCAUCAUCGAAAACAAAUGGAUGGCAACGGAGUCCGUUUGCUACCGAUAGUANCUAAAAAUAAAAGUCGGCAAUUUUUAAUAACUAAAACUUAGGAAAGCUAACGAUUCAUUUACUAUAGCUUUUUAGCGUUUUUAAUAAAAGAUCUUUGAAGUUUAUGCGAUCUAGUUCAGAUUGCCUCGGCUAACAGCUAAACUUUUAAGGUAGUAGCUUUUGCCGAGUCCUCGUGCCUCCGGAGACACGAGGACUCUCGUGUCGUCAGGACGAGAGAGAGAGAGAGAGAGAGAGAGAGAGAGAGAGAGAGAGAGAGAGAGAGAGAGACUAUAAAAAGUGGUGAUAUAGCACUAAAAUUUUCGAUCAGAAAUAUUGAUCUUGUUAUAGAUAGUAUAAAGAAUUUUGUAUCAAAAUUUCAUCUGAUUUGAAUACUUCUACACCGUUAAACUUGAAAACGGCAGAUAUCAACUAUUAAAAAUUAUUGAUUUUGAAUCCUUUCGAUCACUAGGUAAAUGAUAUAAAAAAAUCGCAAAAAUUAUUUUCUAGAAUCUUCAAAUACGGUAGAUCAAGUCUAACGGAGCCGAUCGUCAAUUCGAAAAUUCCAUCAUCGAAAACGGCUCCGUGCUCCUGAGAGCACAGCAGCCCUGCUCUAUAUACGUAUCUAUUAUUAUCUUCU